rnacentral:lncRNA from 1 species
UCUUGCCCCACGUAAGUUUCAGCCCACUAUUUCUGUGUUGCCUCUUCACCCACACAACGCAAACAUAAGGAAUCCAUCUAAUCUCUCGGCGCCUUUGAUCCACGUCAUUAUGCGCGAUCCCUUUAUUCACCUUGUCUCUAUGUAUAGGCGCUCCCAUCAACACUGGACUUUAGCGGGGGUGGUGGGUAGGGCGUUCUUUUCUUAUGGUACAGCAUACACUAGUACGCACGCCUGGUCUAUUCCGCUACACAAUAGUAGUAGUGUACUACUAUAUAGUAACACAAACGUGCACGAGCUAGGCAGGCCUCAUCAUCCUACCUCAGAAUGUACCAUGCAUGUCGACUAGAUUCGGAACCGUUGGUGGAAGGAAAAAAAAGAACCAAAUUUACCGUACAAUGAGGCCGGUCUGUCUCUCUACCGCUCCUAUUUUAUUGAAAAUGUUAUUUUUUGUUUUUGUUUUUGCGAAGUUGAAAAGAUAGCUGCUACUGUAUGCAUGCACUUUUGACCUGUGCUAUGAGACCGGCCGGUUGUUUUACCCAUAGCACGACACGACUGUACUUUUCGUCGACCUAGCUACUGAACAACGAACGAGUGCAUGUAGUAAAUUGCAUGAUGGUGAGCUGGGCGGGCACAUAUGGUUUGGAUGUGUGGAGUGGACACUGGACAGCUCGAUCGCUAGCUAUUUGCCCUGGACGUAUGCGUUGCGUACUUGCAUUGGAUACCCGGGCCGGUACGUACGAAUUUGGCGUAUUGCGUACCGCCCAGCUAGCGUACGCCCACAUGUCGUGCGUGCUAGUCAUGUCAUCCCAUGAUCACCCCCUGAUCUGCCUGUUUCUGCUUGGGUACUCCAACUCUCAUAGUCGGCAUAGUAGAGUGUACCCUCAUAGGUACUCGAUCGCCAUCAGCGCGGCACUGAAUUUUAGGCGCGAAUAUUCACUCGAGUCAUGGCACAGUGCCCGCGUCAGUGUCGAUCGGGACGGCCCCAAAGCAUGCACGCACGCACGCAUGCACGCUGGCGACCGGCGGUGUUGAUUAUUUGUUGAAGAGAAGGAGGAGGACGACGGACGAGUACUGUGAGCCUAGUGUUUUCGCAGGGUGGUUCGCGGAUGGCUGUCUGGUGGCGACCGCUUCUAAAUGCACCACCUACGUGGGAGACAAAAGAGGCUAUUCAGGUGGCAGCCCGGGCAUUACCUACGUGGACACGCGUACGGCGAACAAGGCAAGGCGCUGUCCGCUACUCAAGUCUUUCCUUUUUCUCCUUUCUCCCCAUCACAAACGAAACGUGCGCAGCGCGCGGGAGACGACGACCCGCGCGAGGAAAUGCUUAUGCACACAUCAAGAAGCUAGCCGCAGAAGCAGAUCGCACGUAGGAGGAGCACGUGCAGCGAGCAGAGACCGACCACGGUGCAGGAUCCAUAACGCCGCGCGGCGGUACCGGUAAAUGAACGGCAGGCGGUGCCGCGCCCGUACCGGCGCAUGCACGGCCUGCUUUCUCGCCGGCGACGGCGCACCUGGUCCGCCCGGGCUGUCCACACCGUAUCCAUGGACUUUUCUCCCCGGGUCUGGGCGAGCUCUCACGAGUCACACCAGCUUGCAUCGCCUGCUCUGCUGUGCCUGUGCUCUGCCGCCUGCCUCGGCAGGGAAGGACCAUCGAUCUUCACCUCGCAUGAUUACAAGUGACCGUACGGCCGGCGGUGGUGUAGGUACACACAACCAGCAGCAAACAUUCAAACCCACCCGCUCCGAGUCCCCGACUCAUCAUAAAUGGCGGGGUACGGGGCGUCUUAUCAUGGGCACUUUUGGCCAUUCUCCGCUGGUGUAUGCUGCGGAUGCGUCCAAGCAACCCUAUGCUAUGCUUGCAAAUCUCGCCUAGCUCGGUUUGUUUAGUUUGUUUAGGCUAUUUAGAUCUUGUGAAAGAUAUGGAAGUGACUAGCUUUGUAGUCAUGGUACCCCACGGGAAACAAAAUAACCACCAAACAACCACUAGCGGCAGUGAAGCUGAAGCCCCAAGAGAAAGAUACCAUGGCUCUGGCCCCAGCGCAAGGACCCAUUUUUUUGGGCACACUCAUACAUCUCUGUCGCUCAUGGGCUGUACGAUUGUUCCAGGGGCCCAUCAGGCCCACAACGUACGUGGGACUACGUAGAGCAAGCGUCAUGUUUCUUGGACACCACGUAGGAAAUCUUUGCCCAUGAAAAUCUUGUUUCCAAAGAAACGAAUCAUUUAGGUGUGCUAACUAAAAUGUCACUUUUAUUUUUAUGAAAAAAAACGCCACUCUCUAAAAGAACAUAAAAGAGUACCACUUUUCUGAGAAGUGUCACUCGAAGCCCCCCCGGGUAGAUUGGGUCUUUACUUCUGUAAAUUGGACCUGCAACUAUCCCAACACUCAAGCCCUGCCAUUAUCCAAACUUGUGUCUAAUCAUACCCCUUGUGUUAUUUCUAUUGGAACUGACAUUUCCAAAUCCAAACUCUUUAGGUUUGAGAACUUUUGGCUAGAGCAUGAACAUUACAAAGCAGUUGUGGAAAGCAUUUGGAAACAACAUGUGUCUGAGCAAGAUAGUUGCAAGAGGUUGUUGAAUGUCUGCUGGAGGUUAGAAAGGAGGCUGGAGCCUUGGCGAGACUUGACCACUAUGUCAUCAACGUAAGCUUGAACAUUGAUUCUGAUCUAGUCAUGGAGGCACUUCUGCAUGGUUCGUUAGUACGUUGCACCCGCGUUUUUGAGACCAAAGGGCAUGGUGAUGUAGCAGAAAGGUCCGAAAGGCGUGAUGAAAGAAGUUUUUUCCUGGUUGGACACCUUCAUCCAUAUUUGGUGUUAGCCUAAAUAGGCGUCCAAAACGCACAACCUCUCAUAGCCCGUGGUUGAGUAAAUGACUUGAUUGAUGCAAGGUAGAGGGACCAGGUCCUUGGGGAGGUCCUUCUAGUCGACACACAUGCGCCAAAACAUGUUAUUCUUGUGGACCAUGAAGGGAUUGACAAACCAUUCAGGGCGCGUGACCUUCUUGAUGAACCCGACAACUAGGAGCGGGUGAUCUCCGCCCUGAUGGCCUGUCGCUUUUCGGUGGCAAAACGAUAUAGGGCUUGCUUGACCGGUCUCGCGUCCUUGUGGACGUUGAGGUUGUGUUGCUGCUACUUGUGAGCUGCAUUGGGAUUUUCCCGAAGAAGAGAGGAUGAUGCAGUAUAGUAGAGAUAAAUAUUUCCCUUAGUUAGAAACCAAGGUUAUCAAUCCAGUAGGAGAACCAUGCAACAACUCGUGAGCAGAACCUGCACACAAAAUAACAAAUACUUGCACCCAACUCAAACGAGGGGUUGUCAAUCCCUUGGCGGUUAAUUGCAAGGAUAAAUCUCGUAGUGAUAGAUAGAUAAAUAAAAACACAAAAUAAAAUAAAGUAAUAAAAGUGCAACAAGGUUUUUUUGGAUUUUAAAAUGUGAUAAAAAAUAGACCCGAGGGCCAUAGUUUUUACUAGAGGCUUCUCUCUUGAAGAUAUCAUACGGUGGGUAAACAAAUUACUAUUGGGCAAUUGAUAGAAAAGCAAAUAAUCAUGAUGACAUCCAAGACAAUGAUCAUGUAUAUAAGCAUCACGUCCGAGACAACUAGACCGACUCUUGCCUGCACCUACUACUAUUACUCCACACAUCGACUGCUAUCUAGCAUGCAUCUAGAGUAUUAAGUUCAUAAAGAACGGUGUAACGCCUUAAGCAAGAUGACAUGAUGUAGACAAAGUAAACUCAAUUAAUAUGAAUAAGGCCAAUCAUUUUACCCUUAAUGGCAAUGAUACAAAUAUGUGUCAUGUCCCUUUCUUGUUGGGGAACGUUGCAUGGAAAACAAAAUAAUUUCUACACACACGCAAGAUCUAUCCAUGGAGAUGCAUAGCUACGAGAGGGAAAGAGCAUCUAUAUACUCCUAUAGAUCGCGAAAGUAAUUCAUAUGCUCAAUGCUGCAAAUCUGAAAUUCAAAAGUAAUUCAUAUCUGAAAGUACUCUCAAAAUACACAACACAAAACACAAUUCACAUCUGCAAAUACUGACAACCCUAAGCUCCUCCUGACAAUUCACAACCUGCCCGACUAUUGGGUUCGGGGGGGGGGGGGAUCCCCUCCUAUUCCUCGACGGUAGACAGCCGGUCCAUAAGACGAUGUGAACGGCGAGGGAGAGGAAGGCGGGGAAGCAUCGUUGGGCCAACUGCUUUUCUCCUCUUGCAGUUGGGUUUGGUCGACGAAGACUCCACCGACUCGCUCUGGCACGACACCCUCACAAACGGCACCUUGUAGAUUCUCGAUCCUUCAAUCUAUGGUUGAAAGUGCAACUAUCCCUAGGUGGUUUUGGUAAUUCCUAACAACAUAUAGCUCAUUGAGCUAAUACUAUUCCAAGAUAAAUAUUUCAGGAAAGCUCAAUGAUUGGCAUGGCAUGGAUGAGAAAAGUGGACCCCUCAAAAUGCUAAGGACAAAAGGAUUAGCUCAAGCUCAAAGCUCAAGACUCUACACUUUAUAUUUUAGUGAUCCAAGAUCACAUUGAGUCUAUAGGAAAAGCCAAUACUAUUAAGGAGGGAUGAGGUGUUGCUUAAUGAGGUUCUUGCUCAAAGUGCUUAGUGAUAUGCUCAAAAGCCCUCAACUACUUUCUCACAUCCACAUAUGACCUAAACCAAAAGUCAAACUCGGCCCCACCGAUUCUUUCUAUCCGGCGCCACCGAGUAUAGAUGUCAUAGCCACUGCCACAAACCCUAGGCAAAUCAGUCUCACCGAUAGGGAUCUCGGUCUCACCGAGAUGGGAUUGUAAUCUCUCUGUUUCCCUUCGUAACGUUUCGGUCCCACCGGGAUGAGCGAUCGGUCCCAACGAGAUUGCAAUGUAUACUCUCUGUUUCCCUUUCAUAAUGUUUCGGUCCAACCGAGAUGAGCGAAUCGGUCCCAUCGAGUUUACCUGACCAACUCUCUGGUUAGCUUAUUACCAAAAUCGGUCUCACCGAGUUUGUGUAAUCGGUAUCACCGAGAUUAUGUUAUGCCCUAACCCUAACCAUAUCGGCCCUACCGAGUUGCCUGUCGGUCCCACCGAAAAUCCAAACGGUCACUAGAUUUACUGAAUCGGUCUGACCGAGUUUCUCAAUUCGGUCCCACCGAGAAUGGUAAGUUGUGUGUAACGGUUAGAAUUUGUGUGGAGGCUAUAUAUACACCUCCACCUCCUGUUCAUUCGUGGAGAGAGCCAUCAGAACAAACCUACACUUCUAACUUACAUUUUCUGAGAGAGAACCACCUACACUUGUGUUGAGGUCAAGAUAUUCCAAUCCUACCAUAUGAAUCUUGAUCUCUAGCCUUCCCCAAGUUGCUUUCCACUCAAACCUUCUUUCCACCAAAUCCAAAUCAUGUGAGAGAGAGUUGAGUGUUGGGGAGACUAUCAUUUGAAGCACAAGAGCAAUGAGUUCAUCAUCAACACACCAUUUGUUACUUCUUGGAGAGUGGUGUCUCCUAGAUUGGCUAGGUGUCACUUGGGAGCCUCCGACAAGAUUGUGGAGUUGAACCAAGGAGUUUGUACGGGCAAGUAGAUCGCCUACUUCAUGAAGAUCCACCGCUAGUGAGGCAAGUCCUUCGUGGGCGACGACCAUGGUGGGAUAGACAAGGUUGCUUCUUCGUGGACCCUUCUUGGGUGGAGCCCUCCGUGGACUCACAUAGCCGUUACCCUUUGUGGGUUGAAGUCUCCGUCAAUGUGGAUGUAUGAUAGCACCACCUAUCGGAACCAUCACAAAAACAUCCGUGUCUCCUAUUGCGUUUUCACUCUCCAAACCCUUCCCUUUACAUUCUUGCAAGUUGCAUGCUUUACUUUCCGCUGCUCAUAUACUCUUUGCAUGCUUGCUUGAAUUGUGUUAAGAUUGCUUGAUUUGUCUAUCUUUGUUAAAAUCUGCCAAGAACUAAAAAUGGGAAAAGGAUAAGCCUUUAUUUGGUCAAGUAGUCUAAUCACCCCCCCUCUAGACACACUUUUGAUCCUACAAGUGGUAUCAGAUCCUUGGUCUCCAUUUGCUUUGAUUUCCAUAGCUUUUGGUGGUCAUAGCCUUGGUUUCACAACCUAGGAGAGUAUGGCGUCUAGCGAGGGAAAUUAUCACCGUAGAGGUCCUUACUUUGAUGGUACUAAUUUUGCUAGUUGGAAGCAUAAGAUGAAAAUGCAUAUUCUUGGACAUAACCCUGCCGUAUGGGCUAUUGUGUGUAUUGGCUUGCAAGGUGAAUUCUGUGAUGGGAGAGAACCUAACCGUGAAGCUAGCGCGGAAGAGUUGAAGAUGCUGCAAUACAAUGCUCAAGCUUGUGAUAUCCUCUUCAACGGAUUGUGCCCCGAAGAAUUCAACAAAAUCAACCGUCUUGAGAAUGCAAAGGAAAUUUGGGACACUUUGAUUGACAUGCACGGAGGUACCGACUCCGUCAAGGAAUCCAAAUUGGAUGUGCUUCAAAGUCAACUUGACAAGUUCAAGAUGAAGGAUGAUGAAGGCAUCGCUGAAAUGUACUCUAGACUUGCUCUCAUCACAAAUGAGAUUACCGGCUUAGGAAGUGAAGAGAUGACCGAAAAAUUCAUCAUCAAGAAGAUCCUAAGAGCCUUGGAUGGAAAAUAUGAUACCGUGUGCACAUUGAUCCAAAUGAUGCCCAAUUACAAGAAUCUCAAGCCAACGGAGGUCAUUGGAAGAAUUGUUGCUCAUGAGAUGUCACUCAAGGAUAAGGAAGAGCUCCAUAACAAGUCAAGUGGUGCUUACAAAGCCUCAUGUGAAGCUCCCACAUCAUCAAGUGAGAAACAAGCCUUCAAUGAAGAAUUGAGCCUAAUGGUGAAGAACUUCAACAAGUUCUACAAGAGUAGAAGCAAGGAAAGAAGUUCCAAGUCAAGGUCCUACAAUGACAAAAGAUCUUCUAGUCGAGAGCGUAAUUGCUACAAUUGUGGAAGACCCAGACACUAUUCCAAUGAGUGUACGGCUCCGUACAAGAGAAGAGAAGAGUCACCUAAGAGAAGAAGUAGAAGAGAAGAAUCACCACCAAGAGAGAGGAAGAGUAGAGAUGAUCGUUAUGAAUGAAGAACAUCCCAGAGGAGCAAGGAUUCAGAAAGGAAGGACAAAUCAUCAAAGAGCUACACAAAACGAAGACAUCAAGCUCAUGUUGGUGAAUGGGUAUCUAGCUGUGACUCCGAACAUCUCUCCGAGAGAAGCUAUCACUCUGACUCAGAACAUACUCAAGAUGAAGGUGUUUCCGGUCUAGCACUUGUGUCAACCAACUCCUACGACAUAUUUGAUUCACCAAAUGAAGGAAUUGGAAGAUGCUUCAUGUCUAAAGGCCCUAAGGUAUUACACCCCGAGUAUGUUGACUUUAAUAGUGAUGAAGAUGACUGGUUAGGUGAUGAUGAUUUACUUGUUGACAACUCUAGUGAUGAAUACUAUGAUGAAACGUCAAUUAAUCAUGCUAAUCAAGAUAAAAUGAAUGACAAUGAUAAUGAGAAGAUUGAUAUUCUAACUAAAGAACUAAACACUCUUAAGUUAGCUCAUGAAACUAUCUAAGGAGAUCAUCGAGAACUUUUAAGGACUCAUGAGAAAUUGCAUUUUGAAAAGCUCAACCUUGAGCAAGAACAUGAGUUUUUAAAAGAUAUCAAUGAUGAUCUUCGCAAGAAAAGUUCUUCUUACAUUGCCAAGCGUUUACUCUUAUCUACUUACAUGCCUCAAGUCAAGUCUAGUAACAAGAACAAGAAAGAUUCUUCCUCUAGUAGUAACAACAAUCAUCAUGCUAAAUCCAAUGUUGUUGCUUCUAGUAGUUCUCUUGAUUCCACUAAUGAUUCUCUUAGCCAAGUUACACUUGAGCAAGAAAACAUCUUAUUGAAGGGAAUUAUAGAGAAAGGUGUUUACAAGAGCCUUGCCGGAAGUAAGCAAUUCGAGGAAAUUGUACGCAAGCAAGGUAGGCACCGGAAGAACCAAGGUGUUGGUUUUGAACGAAAGUUCAAUGCCAAUGGAGUUGAGUGGGAAGAAGAUCAAUACCCCAAGACGGAGUUUGUUCCUCAACAGGAGAAGUAUGAUCCUACUUCUUUCAAAGGGACACAAGCUCAAGAUGAUCUUCCAUCACAAGACCACAAGCAUAAAGGCAAGGACAAGCUUCAACAGGAUAUUGAUGCAUUUGAAGAAGCUCCUAAAGCCUUGGUCAAGUGGGUUCCCAAGACUACGUCAAGUUCUACUUCAUCAAGUACGACUACAACUCCAAGGAUUCCCAUCAAGAUGGUGUGGAUCCCGAAGAAGAAGAACUAGAGAGUUCUUGAGGGUGACUCCGCCAACAUACUUCACUCUUAUCAUUUUGGCGAGGACAAGUGCAAUAAACUUCCACAUCUUGCACUAGUUCAUGGAGUCACAAACCCUCUUGUUGGUAAGACAAGGGACAAGGUAACCUAAUGCUUUCAUGGACAUCAUCUUGUGUGUGCAUCACUCUAUGUCUAUGGAUAUCCUUGUUUGUUCCUUGUGGGACUAACCCGUGUAGGUAUUGAAAGUGCAAGUCACUCCAAAGGAUUGCUCCAAAAGAUCUACAUCAACAUAGAGCAUCCACAUCUUCAACACCUAUAUGAAGUCAACAUCGACAAAACCCAAGGUUAGUUCAUCCCUCUCUGGGGGAUCUCACAUCUAGGGGGAGCUUUACUCUAAGAAUUGAGCUAAAACAACUCUAAUGAUGUGAACACAUCAAUGCAUUAUGUAAAAGUGGCAACCCCACUUGAGCUUAAACGAUGAGUAUGACCUAUGAUCAAAUGUUCUCGUUUGACUCCUAAGUCAAAAUACUCAUAUAUAGAUGACCUAGUCAUCGCCAAUUUCUUGAUAGAUGCUAGAAUUGGUUGUGCAUGCUUUGACACAUAUUUCAUCUGCCAUUUUAUUGUGUGAGCAUGUCAUUUGCAUAUUUUACUCAUUCGAGGACAUCCACUUGUAGUUUUGCUUGUUUGGCUUCUUUUCUUUUUGCCAAGUGGAUGGACAAGAAUGCCUAAGAACCCCGAAAGUACCAUUCUACACCCAGGAGCAAAUGCUCCUGGUGUGAACAGUAAAAUCAAAAAAAUUCAAAAAAUUUUGAAUUUUUUUUGUGACAUACUUUCACAAGUGUUUCUUGUGCAUGAAAAAUUUCAUCACGAAAUCACAUUCGUGGAAGUCGUGCCGAAAAAAACAAAACCAGAGCUUCAAAAUGCUUUUGUAAGUAACAUUUUCAGAGCAUCGAUUUUGUUUUUUUUACCACACCUUUCACCAAUGUGAUUUCGCGAUGAAAUUUUACGUGCACAAAUUUUUUUUGUAUAAGUAUGCCACAAAAAAAAUUCAGAAUUUUUUGACAUUUUUUUAUUUUUUUAUUUUACUGUUCACACCAGGAGCAUUUGCUCCUGGGUGUAGAAACUCCACUUCCUAAGAACCCUCUCUAGCUAUCUAUGCUAUUCUUGUCUCAAACUCUAUUCAUGCCACAUCACAAAGUUUGAUCAAGUCAGAUUCGAACCACUCUGUGUGAGGAGCACUCGGAGUCCCCGAUUCGUCAUAGACUUAAACUUCCAAAACUUCUUUGUGCGUAUCGGUCUGACCAAUUCAUCCUUUUCGGUCAUACUGAGAUCACUAAGUCGAUCUAGGUUUUCAAUCUCGGUGCAACCGAUUUGAACUUUUCGGUCACACCGAGUUGCAGCAACUGCUUGCAGUUAUGCAUCUCGGUGCCACCGAGUCGUUCCAUUCGGUCACACCGACAGGGUCAGGCUAUUUAUACCCCCGAGCCAAAAUUUGGAAAUUUCUCCGAAUCACUUCACCCGUGCUCAGCCUGCUCUGGCUCCCUGGGUCUCCGGAUUGUCCUCCUCGUCGCCAGCCGCCUCCCACCGUUGGUCUCCGCCGCCGUCAACGGAAAUCGUCUCCACCGUUGCCGCCGUAGCAAGUCCGCCGCCGAACUUAGGGUAUGGACUUGAUCCUUGUGCUAUCUCAUUCUGAUUCCUAGCACAUUGCCUUGCCAUGUAUCUUGCCAUAGUUGAGAUCGUCCUAUCCAGUGAAAUAGAUUGAUUUCGAUUAAGAAUUUAGGGUUAGGUUUCCGCCGAAAUCAUCUCGGACCGACCGAGUUGUAGAAAUCGGUUCCACCGAUUUGGCUUAGGCCAUUGCACAUGUGAUUCUCGGUCUGACCGAGAAUUGCAAAUUAGUGUGACCGAGUUCAGGACUUUGUGAAACCCUAGCAGUCUCGGUGCCACCAAACUGUGACUCGGUCUGACCGAGUUCACUAGUUUAGGUUCCAAAAGCUGCUUCGGUCUCACCAAGUUUACAAAUCGGUAGAUCCAAAAUGCUUUCUGUGGAAAACUAAAACUAAGUUUUUAAUUCGUUCUUUUGCAAGAACUUUGUGCCUUGUGAUGCUCAUCCCCUCUAUCUCAUCUAUAUCUAUUCACAGGGUCUAUUGUCAAUGUUUGCACUAUGUCAGAUCAGAGUGACAGCCAGAACAGAGAUGAAGAGCAUGUUUACUUGAGUGAGGGCACUAUUCCCUCCAGUUCCUCAGAUGAGGGCAGCAGGAGCACUCCCAGCAACUUGCCUAAAGCUGCCACUAGGGCCAGAAAGAAGAGAACCUCAGAUUCUGAAGAUGAGGAUUAUGUGGCAGAAGAGGAUGAAGCCACCUCCAGGAAGGUGCUGAAGAAAGAAUAUGGCACAGCUGCUGCCACCAAGCCUGGCUUGAACAGGAAAGUUCCAGCCAAGAGGACUCCUAUGCUGAAGGUCAGAGGAUCAACUCAAGAGACUGUGAGAUCUGAACCCAAAGAUCCAGAAGUGGCUGAAAAGAAAAGGAAAGAAAGAGCUAAGAAAACUAUGGCCAGAGUAGUUGGAAACCCCUCUAUGAUGGAAGAAGAGGAAGAGGUUGCUGCACCAGCACCUAAAGCUCAAAAUCUUAUGGGAGAUGCAAUCAGAUCAGGGGCUGCUCCAUCUAAGCCCAAAGAUGCUCCCAAAGCUGCUCCCAAGCCCAAGACUGCACCCAAGAGGAACACUAGGAGCAUACCAGCUGCAGAGAAGAACAAGGACCCAGUGCCUGAAUAUGCUGAAGAAGAAGAAGAAGAUGAGUCACAUGUCUUGAGGAAGUUGAAGCCCAAAAUUCUAGAUCACAAUGAUGCUCACCCAGUAGCUGAGGAUAUGAAGCUCAGGAAGGAUGCAGGAAUCAGACAAUGGAGAUUGACAGAUCCCUAUGCUAUCAGGAGAAGGACUGCUAUGGACUACAGGUUCCAUACAAAGGAACAAUAGGACUUCUAUGAGACAGUGCUGCUUGAUAAGAAGCCAAUUGUUUGUGAUAAGAGAUGGGUGGACUGGGAGUACAUCAGGAAGAAUGAAGAACACUAUCCUGGAAUGUUUGACAGCUUCAAGUCUUGUGGGGUAGAUGACUUUGUUGGGCAGAAGCUCACAAAGUGGAAUGAUGAUCUUAUUAUGCAGUUCUACUCCACAGCUCACUUCUACCCAAAUGGAAGGAUUGUCUGGAUGUCUGAAGGUACUAGGUACCAAUCAACAGUUGAAGAGUGGGCAGAGUUGAUCAAUGCUCCUAAGGAAAAUGAAGAUGACUUGGAUGUCUAAGCUAAGAAGAAGAAGGAUCACAACUCCAUGGCACAUAUGUAUUGAGAGAUCCCAGAUGCUGCUGUUGAGACUCACAAGUUUGGAUCAAUACAUUACCUUCUUUCAGGUUUGGCAAUAAUCAACUGGAUCCUCAUGCACACUCUAUUGCCAAAGUCAGGUGAUCACAAGAUGAUUAGAGGCCAUGCAAUUAAUUUUCUUCACAUAUUUGAUGUGCCUCAGAAGUUCAAGGUCAUGAGCUUAAUUGUUGAGACUAUCAAGAGAACUGCUACUGACCAGAAGAGAAGUUGUGGGUAUGCCCCACAUAUUCAGGAGCUCAUCAACUCCAAGAUGGGCACAGGCACAUAUCUCUUGGACAAGGAUCACAUGCCUAUCUACCCAGACUUUGAGAAAACACUAUAGUGAUGGAUGAAAAUGAACCAUCUUCUGUGCAAGCACAAGAGAAGAAGGAGAAGGCAAGGACUGAAAAGGCUGCAAAGAUGCCAACUGCUGAAGAGGCAUCUCAGUACUUCCUGGAGAGUAAGCAAGAUCAGCUUGGCUACUUGAUUGCCUCCACUCUGAGGAUUGAGAAGGAGUUGGCCACCCUAACACAAAACCAGGAGAGCUUGGAGAGGAUCAUGGAGCAGAAGUUCUAUGACUUAGAUGUGAAGGUCACUGAGAUACAGUCAGUUGUUGAGCAAUUUCAGAAUGAAGUGCAGGAGAGGAAGGGCAAGACUACCACUGAUGCAUUUGCUAGAGUGUGCAGAAGUCAGAGAUCAGCUGCAGUGCCAGUGACACACACCAGAGCAACUUUAUCAGCACCAGCAACAGCUUCAGUGCCACCAGCUCCAGUAGCCACUCCACCAGCUCCAUCAUCCUCAACUGAUGCCUUCGUCCUUGGAGUCAUUUCUACACCACCACAUCAAGACCAAGCCUGAGAGUCGAUUUAGCACAAUGCAUUUUUUAUGAAAUUUUUGGUAACUUGUUGCCAAAGGGGGAGAAAAUGUAUAGAUCAUAGGCUUCGAGAGAGUGUGUUGCUUUUGUUCUCUCUUGUUUUGGUGGUUGAACUUUAUUUGUUUGCUUGUUUGAGAUACAUUCUAUGCGUUUGUGUGAUACUUGGAUGAUCAUGUGUUUGAUCAUAUACAGUGCUACCUUAAUGCUUGUUGGAUGACAGUAUCCUUUUAUCUCUAUAUGAUCAUUCACUUUGCUUGGUGAUGAGUGCAUGUAUUUAGUUAUUAUCAUUUUGAGCGCUCCACCAAGAUGUAUGUGACAUGGAAGAGUAACCCAUGAUCCUAAUUCAUUGUGCAUUUGCAGUCCAAAGCAAAUCUCAAACUAUGCACAAAUUUAGGGGGAGCUCUUGUUUUUCACAUACUUCUCAAAGCAACAAUGUUUUCAAUCUUAUUAUCAUUUGACAAAGCUUUGAUCUAUAUGUUGUCAUCAAUUACCAAAAAGGGGGGGAUUGAAAGUGCAACUAUCCCUAGGUGGUUUUGGUAAUUCCUAACAACAUAUAGCUCAUUGAGCUAAUACUAUUCCAAGAUAAAUAUUUCAGGAAAGCUCAAUGAUUGGCAUGGCAUGGAUGAGAAAAGUGGACCCCUCAAAAUGCUAAGGACAAAAGGAUUGGCUCAAGCUCAAAGCUCAAGACUCUACACUUUAUAGUUUAGUGAUCCAAGAUCACAUUGGGUCUAUAGGAAAGGCCAAUACUAUUAAGGAGGGAUGAGGUGUUGCUUAAUGAUGUUCUUGCUCAAAAUGCUUAGUGAUAUGCUCAAAAGCCCUCAACUACUUUCUCACAUCCACAUAUGACCUAAACCAAAAGUCAAACUCGGCCCCACCGAUUCUUUCUAUCCGGCGCCACCUAGUUCAGAUGUCAUAGCCACUGCCACAAACCCUAGGCAAAUCGGUCUCACCGAUAGGGAUCUCGGUCUCACCAAGAUGGGAUUGUAAUCUCUCUGUUUCCCUUCGUAACAUUUCGGUCCUACCGAGAUGAGCGAUCGGUCCCACCGAGAUUGCAAUGUAAACUCUUUGUUUCCCUUUCGUAACGUUUCGGUCCAACCGAGAUGAGCGAAUCGGUCCCACCGAGUUUACCUGACCAACUCUCUGGUUAGCUUAUUACCAAAAUCGAUCUCACCGAGUUUGUGUAAUCGGUCUCACCGAUAUUACAUUAUGCCCUAACCCUAACCAUAUCGGUCCUACCGAGUUGCAUGUCGGUCCAACCGAAAAUCCUAACGGUCACUAGAUUUACUAAAUCGGUCUGACCGAGUUUCUCAAUUCGGUCCCACCAAGAUUGGUAAGUUCUGUGUAACGGUUAGAAUUUGUGUGGAGGCUAUACAUACCCCUCUACCUCCUCUUCAUUCGUGGAGAGAGCCAUCAGAACAAACCUACACUUCCAACUUACAUUUUCUGAGAGAGAACCACCUACACUUGUGUUGAGGUCAAGAUAUUCCAAUCCUACCAUAUGAAUCUUGAUCUCUAGCCUUCCCCAAGUUGCUUUCCACUCAAACCUUCUUUCCUCCAAAUCAAAAUCCUAUGAGAGAGAGAGAGUUGAGUGUUGGGGAGACUAUCAUUUGAAGCACAAGAGCAAGGAGUUCAUCAUCAACACACCAUUUGUUACUACUUGGAGAGUGGUGUCUCCUAGAUUGGCUAGGUGUCACUUGGGAGCCUCCGACAAGAAUGUGAGUGGAACCAAGGAGUUUGUACGGGCAAGGAGAUCGCCUACUUCGUGAAGAUCUACCACUAGUGAGGCAAGUCCUUCGUGGGAAACGACCAUGGUGGGAUAGACAAGGUUGCUUCUUCAUGGACCCUUCUUGGGUGGAGCCCUCCGUGGACUCACACAGCCGUUACCUUUCGUGGGUUGAAGUCUCCAUCAACGUGGAUGUACGAUAGCACCACCUAUCGGAACCACGACAAAAACAUCCGUGUCUCCUAUUGCGUGUGCACUCUCCAAACCCUUCCCUUUACAUUCUUGCAAGUUGCAUGCUUUACUUUCCAUUUCUCAUAUAGUCUUUGCAUGCUUGCUUGAAUUGUGUUAAUAUUGCUUGAUUUGUCUAUCUUUGUAAAAAUCUGCCAAGAACUAAAAUUGGGAAAAGGAUAAGCCUUUAUUUGGUCAAGUAGUCUAAUGACCCCCUCUAGACAUACUUUCGAUCCUACAAUGGUGGAUGCUCCAUCUGGGAUCGAUACUCCCACCACCGCUCCCUCACGAUCGGAUUCGGUGCAUUUGUUUGCUCCAUGGCCCAGAGGAGCAGCACUAUGUACUCCCGCGCGACUCCCUCCGGAGUAUCGCCGUCUUUUCGCUCUAUUGCAGAUACUUGGCCAUGGAUGUCGCCGUCGCCGCUAGUUGGUCCUUGUUGUCAAACCAAGACUGUAUCUCUGACAUCCUAUCUAGCUUUCCAGGGUCAUCAUCUGCGAUCCUCAUGUAUCGGUUGUACUGCUCCAUCGGUCUACUUCUCCACAGCACCUUCACUCGCCAGCGGUGGUUUUUGAAUGGAAGAGGAGAGGAGCAGCGCUGGUUUGGGAUUAGAACGGGAGAGGAGCGACACUGGUUUUGGAUUGGAAUAGGAGAGGAGGGGCGGUGGGUUUGAAAUGGAAGAGGAGAGGAGCGGCACUGGAUUUAGAUUGGAACAGGAGAGGAGCGGUGGUGGUUUAAGAGGAAAAGAGCGGAAGAGCGGCGAUGGUCUUGGAAGUAUUUUUUUGUUUUGCGUAUUUUGGGUCAAAGUUUGUCCACGUACUGUAUUUGACAAGCAAAAUGUGAAUGCAUGUCACCAAAAAUUAUAUCAUUUGGUUUGUAUCUGAAUGUACUUUCAAAUUAUAUUAUUUUUGCAACGUAUAACAUAUAUUUUAUUUACGAAAAUCAUGGUCAAUUAUGACCCAGAAUAAAAAGGAAGACUAGUUAAUGUGGGGUCGCUUUCUUAAUUGAAGGGUAUAUUGAUUUUGAUUUUGAUCCAGUCACAGCGCGCCGGCCCUCUCGUCCAAUCCUAAAUCGCUGCCGCACACUCCUCUUCCUCUUCUCCAUUGUAAAACCACCUCCUCCCCUCUCCAUCAUCUCCAUUCCAAAACCAUUGUCUCGCCUCUCCCUCUUCUCCAUUGCAAAACCACCUCCUAUCCUCUCCAUCAUCUCCAUUCCAAAACCACCAUCUCUCCUCUCCCUCUUCUCUAUUGCAAGACCACCGUCUCUCCUCCCAUCUUCCAAAGCUAGCACCAGACCACUCAGAAGGACAUCUAUGGAGAGGAUGCAUCAGCGAAUCAGGCAGAUCGUCGACAACGACCAGGCAAAGUUAGCCAGGUUGAAGGAGAUCCUUACUUGGUUUGACAAUGAGUGGGAGAUUUCAAGGAUGGUGAGGGCCAUGUGGCAAUGUAUGCGAAAGAGCGAGACGGUAGCAAUGAGGGCGGUGAUAUACAUGCACUCCUCGGCGGCAGUCACGCCACGGUCCUUCGAGUUCAUCGAGUAUCUCCUCUGGGCGAUGGAGCAUAUAGAUUCGCCCGAGGCGACAGUCAGGUGGAGGUGGUGGGCGUACAGGUCGAAGGUCUACCACCCAGAGGAUAACGAAUCGAUCGAGUACGAUGUGCCGUUCGUGAGGGUGCAGAGCCAGCCGGAGCCACAGGAGUAUUCGUUCUCCCACCGCAAGAGGAGGCCGGAUGGUGCGACGUCGCUUCCCCGCCGUUCUCCACGUUUCCCUCGAUGCUUGCCUUGUUUCAACGGCAGCGAUAGGGUUUAAGGUAAGCUUCGCACUAACCUAAUCUUCCACCUGCUCAUGCUUACAAUCAGUAUGACAGCUAAUGAAAAUCAUGCUUACAAUUAGUUUCCGAGUACUACACCAAUCACCCUAAAAUAGCUCUGGACCUUUGGGUCAAAGUUGUGACACUGUGUACAAAUAAAAAUAGAUGGGUGCUUUUUUCAGAAAAGAGUACUCCCUAGAAAACUGCCAAUAUAAGCUACUAGUAUUUGGUUAGAGGAUUUGCUGCUGAGAAAGAUCCGUCCACAGAGAGCGCCACACAUCCCACUGCUGGUGGUGGAUGCCAAUGCGUGCAUGGAACAUGGUUGGUGUCGGUAAUUUUUACUUGGCACACCUCGCACUCUGCAUAUAUGCCGGUUCCAUACGUACAUUUGUGCAGUUCCACCAAAAUGUAGCUGAAUAACCCAGUUUGCACAGAUAAUGAAAAGUGUGAUUACAUUAUAGUGGCACUAGUUGAUGAAACACACAAAAUAAAAAGAAGAAAAAUAUUUCGAUAUUAUCAUAGUAUGCCAUGCUGCGAGGGCGAGAUGGGCCCUGCGACGCCUCAUAUGGUACGCCUCAUACUGGAAAUCAUCCCAAGUCUCCCACAUACACCUUCUGUCAGUGAUGAACAUCGUUGUACAGCGGUAGUACAAGGAGGGGCCUUGAGACAUUCAAAUCUCUAAUUUUUUGCAGAUUAACUAAAAUUAAGCACCCCAGUUUGCAGAAACUCUUAAACAUUAACAAUGGGACCAGUUGACGAAACAUACAUUAACAAAGAGAAGCACUUUCUUUAUCUACAUUGGAAAUGAAAUGAUAGAGAGCACACUCCCUCUAUUUUAACUGUAUUAUUACUCCAGUUUAUCUGUGACACUAGGGUCGAGCAGGUGGCAAACAAGGUGUACCGUGCAUCGCAAGGAUGAAGGCUGGGGGUGCUUAGACUGGGAUGCUGAAGCUGGCUCUUUCAGUCCCUAUCUUCCCCCUGAUGUUUCUAUGGUAGCAUUUGGGUUGUAAUCCAAACUUGGUCGAGUUGGUGCUGCGUCCCCCUACCUGCCUAGCUUAUGUGGCGAACUUGUCUCCUGCUAGUACUCAGUCUGUUCUAGUAGUAGUUGCAUAACUACCUGUUUACACUGAGAUGUUGUCGGAUAAUGGUUCUCUAUGGUUGGAUUUCUUUAAUGAAAUCGGAGGGAACCCCCUCUUUCGAUAUAUAAAAAAACAUAGGCACUAGCGAUGCUAAAACAUUGCCUCAAAUUAAUAGUGCCACUAGAUUAAGGUGCAAAAUAAUAACAUUACUGCUUUAUCAUGGCAGUGCCAAAACAGUAGCACAAGAGCAGGAUUAACAUGAAGGAUCUUUGGCAAAUGGUCAGACCAAAAAGGAACAUCCCUCGUGAUGGGAACCAUAUCUGCAGUCAACGCCAUCAUAGAAGGGAUGACACCACUCACCAACAAGGAUGAUUCAAUUCAUGGGACCUUUUGGUGCAGUUCACCUAAAAUGAAGCAAUGUCCCAUGAGCUAGCUUCUUCUUCUUCUUCUUCUUCUUUUAAGAGAAGGGCUCCAGCCCCGGUUCCAUUUCCAUCAGAAAACGAAACCCACAGCGCUUCUUCUUCAUUAGCUGCAAUAAAAUUGAGAAACAUCAAGGUUGGUUGUGAAGCUCCUGGAAUGUUCAACUAUAAUUUGGAUAUCAUUUUGCAGUUCAACUAAGAUCGAGAGUGAAAUGUAUAUCUCUGUUUGCACAAAAAAGGUGGAAAGGAGGGUGACUAACAAGUGAUGAAACAUGCAUCAAAUGAAAAGAAGCAUGUUCCUUAUUUGAAUGGAAAUCCUACAAGGACAAUAGCAAUUUCUAAAGCAUCAGCAUUGCUAGAUAUUAGUGUGGGCAUUAGGAUUAACUAUGACAACCAUUAAAUACGACAUUACUUUAAUGUUGCCAUUGCUUCAUUUUACUAGCAACAUUACAUUAACAGCUGCUACAGAGUCGGUAUUUGGGCACGGGAGAGUAGGUGGACCAGGAUAGUUGCAUUUCUAACGAAAAGAAGCAACUUAUCUUAAUGGGAAAUUUAGCAGGACAUGGAAAAAAGUGCCAUUGAUUCAUAUUACUGGAGGCAUUACAUUGAAAACAACAUUGGUUUAACAUGUCCUUACUUUUAAUAGUGCGACUACUACAUUUUACGAGUGGCGUUACAUAAGAGUGGCUCAGGGCAACAAACAUCAUAACAGGAUAUCUGGGUUGGUCCCAUUUUUGUUCGGUAUAGCCACCUUAUACUAUGUGAGGCUAGCAAAUCUAGUGCUGGACUUACUCUGUUGACUUGUCCCCCAGUCCCCACUUUCUUUCCUUUUUUGACCAAUAGAUUGGGUUUAUAUUGAGUUUGUACUGCGUUUCCCUUUAUUUCCCUAUUAGACCUAGAGACCAGUUGGAUAGUCAGUCUCUGCUACUUUUCACCCCCAUUAUUUCCUCUUUUGACCAAGUCCUAGAUUCAGGUAACAAAUCCUCCCCCACCCCCACCCCUUUCUUCCUUGUUUGAACCAAGUAGUACUAAAUUUGAGUGCAUGAACUAGUUUUACCUCUUAACAGUAAAAAUUUAUGUGGUUUUCGAACAGCCGAUCGAUCCUAUCUACGAGGGGGCCUGAGAAAUAGUAAAAGAUAAAAAUGCAGCGAUGUCAGGAGCUCCGGAAGUAGAGCAAGGCCGGUUUCGAAGGAAGUUAUACCUGAGGGUCGUCGAGAUGUCGCUAGGUGGGCGGCGGGAGGCCGGAUCUGCCCACACUACGGCAGCAAGGAAGAAGGGGUCAGAGGCCCUCCCUCACCAGCGGUGCUUGGGAGAGAACGGCAAGGCACGCUGAUCGGGACGCGCCGGCAGUGGGUAAGAGCCGUCGCCGAGGACGACCGCGUGAACAUUGCACCUUCUCACCUUCCCCGGCGGAGAGGAUCCGGCUGGAUCUGUGACCAGCGGUGAGCAGAGAGAGAGAGUGUGUGGUCACCGCUAUCGUGUUUAGAUCUGGAGAGGACAAGACAGUGGGAAGAGAGUAACACUAGCAAGCAAGCGCGGAGGUUCCUGCCUAUAUAGUGGAGUACUAGUUUUUUUGUCUACCGAAGCCGGCUUGACCUCGUCAAUGACUGUCGAGAAGUCUUCAUGCACGUGCCCCGGAGGCACAGUUGUUGUCAUUUUGAUCUGAAGCACCGGAUUAUAACAUAUAACACGAAAAAAUGCCACAUGACAAGAAAUCAUAACCUCACCGCCCAAAGGAGACAACAUGAAUCCCGACGGACAAACUUGACGAGGAUCAAAGCUCAAAUUAAAGAUAAACUCGUAGAAAAGGGGUUCGUCGAUAGAUGUCCUAAUUAACAUAGCCGACUUGACCUAGAUGGCAACCGAGUAGUCUUCGUGCAUGUGCCCCCAAUGACUAGCCCAACUCAGUUGUCGCUGUUUAACCCUCGCAGUGAUCCGAAGCACAUGCCACCUAAUUUUGCGAGAUGACAAGAAACCUUUUUUAGAUUUCUCACCAGAACUACAGCCCUGUACAACACAGCCUGCACGAUCUAUGGACUAUAGCCAAUCCAGGCGUGUCUGCUGGAGUCUGGUCACAUGCAUGGACGAACUGAUCUUCGGUGUCUUGCAGGGAUCGUCGAGGCACCAACGUAUGUACAACACUUCUCUAGUACUAUCGCUCGUCUCUCUCUUCUAUUAACUCACCUGACUUGUGGGGCUGGGGAGUGUGCCUAUGGUCAGUUCUCAAUUGCGGUCCCACAUGUGUGUGCAAAUGCAAUAUGACGCGUGUUCCAUUCGGGGAGUGGCAUGCUAGACCGAUCGAUCGUCUGGGGUGCGACGCGAACGCGACGGGCGUGCUGUAUACUCCGUACAUGUGUCCGCCAUUUUCUUGAGGCUUUGCUCCAUUGCACAAUCCAUGGAACAAAAUUAGUAUACUACACUAUUUAAAAGUCGAGGGUGGGGCUUUUCCUGUGCGGUAGGCGGGCCAGUUCCGCCUAGUCGGUUCGACGGAGACGCAAGAAGACGAGGGAGUAGGCUGCUACAAACGUAGGGCUAUGUGAUUUGACAACGAGUUACUGCUGGACAGGUGGGGCCCCGUGAUUUGACUUGCCAUUAUCAUUUUAACUGCGGCGCUACGACCGAUGUGAGUCUCCCGAUUUCUGACCACCUCCAUACAGGUGCCUCUCCCAAUGCUCCACCAUGUAGGGUGUGUUUGGUUGCGUUUUCGUCUCAGCAUAGUUGUUCCCUGUUCAUGCAUGGUCAACUCAACACCCCUCUUCAUGCAUGCUUCUAGUGUAUUUGUGCUAAGCUAGUGUGGACUAAUGCACCCUCCAUACACUCUACCAAACACCCAAAAGUGGGUCGAGAAGGGAACUCUUGGGCUCAUGCACCCUUCAUACACCCUACCAAACAAACCCGUAGAGGCUGGCUCUUGCAUGAGAGCCCACUCCUCCAGUUUUUCCUUGCCUCUUUCCUCCACAUAUGCAAAAUGCCAUGUAAAGCGGGCUUAUAGCCCACUAUUGUACUUACUUGCUCCUACAUGUGCUAAGCUUGCCACAUAGGCAUAAAGUCUAAUGUAGCAAGUUAAUUAAGAAGAGAGAGACUAGUUUGGUGACCCAAUGAAGAAAUGGUGCUAAGCGCAUGUACCUAGGUGAAAAGACAAUUUUGAGUUUAUAGCUAAUUAAAUGAAGCAAACUUAGCAACAAAAAACUAAGCACCUAUGCAUUGGCGACUUGAUUGCUAAGCCAUUUAAUGCCCUUAGCACCUCAUCUAAGCACCACUUCAUUGGAAGAGGUCACUCCUUGGCAAAUGCAAUAAAUACUACGAAGAAAGAGAUAGAGAGAAGUAAAAAAAAUACUCUUAUAGCCAACCUUAUAUCUAACCUUGUUGUAGUAUGAGUGACUAAGUGAUGAGUAUGUAUGACAUGCCAACAUCAGAUAGCCUAACGCACCGUGUUAAAUCUCUAAAGGCGCGACCGCGCGAGCGAGGCGAUGGUCGUGGUUAGCGCGACCAGGAUACGGGCUACUGGCAGCCCUUGGAUCUGAGGUCGAACGAUCGCAUGGUAAGUUGCUGAAAAUUUGCAGAAUAACCCUCCAGGAUAGGAUAUUCACCCAUAGGUAUAGAAUCACGCCAUGCAACCGUUUGAUCUUAGAUCCAAGGGCUCUCGGAAGCCCGUAUCAUGGGAGAAGGUAAAGCUUCGUAUCACCUGUAAUUUUCCCGACGCUUGACAUGACAUUGAAAGCCAUUUAAUUGGGCGUCGAGUAGACAUGACAUCUAAUUGGACCCCCAUAGUACUGUGCAUGAAUCCAUUUUGCACGCCCCACUCAGCAUUUUUACAAUCGAAAAACCGCUGGCAGUUCGCUCCUACUCGUCCUCGGACGUCCUUUAACAUUAUGGCAGUUCGCUCCUAGUCAUCCCGUCCUUUCACAUUACUGUAGUUCCACUAAUCCUAACCUUCCUCCCAAAUCCAUGGCGUCCCAAAUCUCCAUGAUAGGCGGUGAGUACAAGGUUAGAACCAUCACCAGCGAUGAGUUCAACAUCAUCUACACCCGUUCUUCCGCGACGGUGAAAGGAUGCCUUGCUUGCUUCAGACGCAUGUUCGAAAACUAAAAUGAUGAGCGGGUCGCUGGGCUAGAUGUUGAGUACACCACAGUAUUGGGACAAGAGAAGGAUCUAAAGGAGGAAGAGAAGAAGAAGCCCGCCGUGAUCCAGGUUUGCGUGCAUGACUUAUGCUUGGUCUACCACAUAUGCCAUGCCGAUGUUGAGUGCGAGGAAUUUAAGAACUUCCUCAAGAGCGGCCUAGUCAAAUUCAUUACUGUAGACUUUACGAACGACAAAAGAGUCCUGGGCCAGAUAGGCCUCGUUGUAGGCAACCCCUUCGACCUCCAAAAGAAUCGGCUGCUGCCCUCCCAUGGUCAGCCUUCAAUGUUGACCCUGGCAGGAGCCAUGGUUCAUCCUUCGUACGGUAAACUGGAUAAACCUCCGCACAUGUUUCAUCAUCAUGCAUGGCAGUGGAAUGUACUAGAUAUAGACCACAUCCACUACGCUGCAAUGGAUUGCUACCUUUGUUUCAAUAUCUACAUGGGUUGGAUGAAGAGCAAGAGCCAAGUUUGCGGUUCAAGCAAAGAAGUAUCGGCCAAGAGGAAGAGGGACAAGGACGAAGUCGAGGACGUCGACGAGGACUCCGAGUAAGGUGGUAGUGUCGUUGCUCAUGGUGGUUCUAAUGCAGUGUCUACCGGAUUAGUUGCAUAGUUUAAUUUGAGGGGUGUGUUGUGCUCAGCCCCCAGCAGAACUAUGUUAUGUUUCUUCUUGUUACUUUAACUCUUCAGUACGUACAUACUAGUAUUUCUUACAUUUCAUCUUUUAGUUGGUAUAGUACUACCACUCGUUUCUUCACAUUAUAUACGUACAAUAUAUAUGGCCAACAUCAUAUAGCCAGCAGUUUAGUUGUCAAAGAAUUUUAGGGUGCUUAGUUUUGUCAAAGCAUUCCAGGGUGCUUAGUUUUAUUUGAGGGGUGUGUUGUGCUGGACACCAUUAUUGUGACUCAAAUCUCUUUUUCCAUGUUAUAAUGACAUAAAUACCGAUGGACCAACAUGCCAGCUCUCCCUCUAUCUCACUACAGUAAAAUAAAGUGUGGGGCCUACUUGAUCCCAAUAGCGUUCUUAUUUUCCUGGAAUAUUAUUCGCUUGGUUACUCCUGACAAGCGGGGCCACACUUAUCAUUGUGAGAAUCGGCUUAUUUUUGUCAUGUAACAUGGUCAACGGGUUUGAUGUGAAAAUAACAAUGUCUAUUGGCAUUUUUGAGCAAACAUCUAACUUAACGAUGGCAUUUUUGAGAUAUCUAAUUGCAUUUUUGAGCACACAUCUCACGGAUCGAUGGUAUUUUUGAGUAGUUGUAACUUCUAAUGGCAAAACUGAGUAGUGAUACACAACUGGUGGCAUAAAUAAUAAGAACCCAAGAAUUGAAUAGGUAUGCUAAUUUCUUUAUUUCUUUAAUAGUACUAUAUGCAUAAUUUGGCGACGAGCGCUCUCUAUAUGUACCACCUUUUGUCUUUAAUUUCAUCUAAAUAUUAUCUUCACAACACACGUCAAAUUAUCACAUGGGUGGAUCUUGGUACAAAACUGCGUCCGCCCGUGUACCCGCGUGUGCGUGCGAGGGAAUGAGUGCGUGCGUGGCUGAUACAUCUCCAAUGUAUCUAGAAUUUUUGAUUGUUCCAUGCUAUUAUAUUACCUGUUUUGGAUGUUUAUGGGCUUUACUUUACACUUGUAUAUCAUUUUUGGGACUAACCUACUAACCGGAGGCCCAACUCAAAUUGCUGUUUUUAUGCCUAUUCAGUAUAUCGAAGAAAAGGUUUAAGUGCAUCUAGUGCCCCUUAGUGAUUUUGGUGUAUUGAAGACUUAUAGGUUAAGGGACUAUUGCGUUUGUGAGUGUACACAGGUCUAUAAGUCUAUGAGGAGUUUGAUAUUUACAGAGAAAGUCGACCCCUAAAAAUGAAGUUCUUCAUUUGAAGACUUUGAUAUUCUGAAGACUUUCUGAAGACUUUGAAAGUGAAGAAAUUGGUGUGACCUUGAAGACUUGGUAUUCAUUUGUGGAACAUGAAGCAUGAAGACUUUUGUUUUCGUAGUUUCAUUUUCUCUUUCUUGAGUCAUAGGAAACGCCGUACUGUUAAAGGGGGUCGAGGAAAUACUAAGGAAAAAUUUCCAUGUGAUGCUCAACUCAAAAUCCUACACCUACCAAUCCCUUCGAGUGAAGCCUUUGGAAAUCUCAUACAGUUCAGUCACUUUCUUCAGUGACAGAGACGAAGUUCUUCUGGUCACUGAUGAAUUUGUUCUGACUGAGGAGUUAGGAAUUCGCCAGUGCGAAUUACCUACACAGUGAGGAACAUGAUAGCCCUGAGAAAUUUGAGAGUCAAAUUUCCGACCGUUACUGUGCUGCGCGCCAGCUGUCCCAAAAUAUCUUAUCCACCUAACGGUCAUAUCAUUGAGGGGCAUUUAUGUCUUAUCAUGUCGGGCUGCUCCCUAGGCUAUAAAUAGCCGCCCCCUACAACCACUAGUUGGUUGGCUGCUCCGAGAGAACUUGACACUUGUCAUUUGAGAGCAACCCAUCCUCCGAGGACUUUGAGCAAAAAUCAUCAAGUGAGGAAAAUCCCAAACCCAAACACCUACAAACCCCAAAGUGAUUGAGCAUCACUGAAGAAAUUGAUCCUGCGUGGAUCCGACGCUUAUUACCUUUGAAGACUGUGCUUCUUCCAGACGGUUAGGCGUCAAGGUCUAGAGCAUCCAAGAGGAAUUGUGGAUCGCCGAGUGACCAAGUCUGUGAAGGUUUGGAAGUCGCUUGAAGACUUACCACGAGUGAUUGGACGGGAUCUGUGUGAUCUUAGUUCAAGGAGAAUACGGUGAGGACUGGGUGUCCUGAGCUGCGUGCUCAGAGACUGGGUGUCCGGGACUGCGUGUCCUCGAGUUUAAAUACUCAGCCGCUCCAACCAGACGUACAACUGAGACAACAGUUGGAACUGGUCUACCAAAUCAUUGUCUUCACCAACCUACUGGUUCUAUUUCCUCAACCCUUUCAUUUCCUCAUUACUGUGUUGAGUGUUUGUUCAUAUCUGUGUUUGAAGACUUUGACUGAAGACUUUCUCGAUUUCCUCAGUUCAAUUUCUUUAGUCUGUAUGUCUUCAUCUUGUGUUAUCCUGUGAUUACGCUUUCUGUACUCUGUGCUUGUCUUCAUUUCAUCAUGAUGACCAUGCUUGCAUUCUGUCAUACUUACUUCUGAGUACUUAUUCCGCUGCUAAUAGUUCUUCACUAAGGAAUUUUCUCACCGGCAAAUUCCUCAGCGAAGAAUUCAUAAAAAUCGCCUAUUCACCCCCCUCUAGUCGACAUAACACACUUUCAAUUGGUAUCAGAGCAAGGUACUCCCUUGUUCUGUGUGAUUUUGGUUUAACCGCCUGGAGUUUUAGUUAUGUCGACCGCAGGUAUGAAGAAAGUGACAUGCCCUAUCUUUGACGGCCAUGAUUAUCCCAAGUGGAAGGCCAUGAUGAGGAAGCGCCUCAUGGCAAGGGACAGCGAGCUGUGGACCGUCACUGAGAUUGGUCUUACUGAUCUAUGCAAGUCGACGAACGUAGAUGAUAUUCGCAAAUACACUCGACUUGACUGCAUGGCGAAGGAUAUCAUCUGUUCCUGCCUAUCCAGAGAUCAAUUCAGGCACAUUAUGCAUCUUUGCAAUGCAAAGCUUAUCUGGGACCGAAUCUCCGACGUCUAUGAAGGUCAUCGAACCCGUCAUGAUCCUUGGUUUGAGGACUUCAAGGAAUCUCUCAAAACGAUGACUUUCGAACCAGAAUCAUCAUCUUCUGCAUCAUGUCUCAUGGCAAAGGGUGUCAAGGUAACAGAAUGUUCCUCAUCUGAAUUUAGUGACUGUGAAUCUGAUGAUGAUAUUGAACCUAGCUAUACCAAACUUGUUUGCAUUGCCACCAAACAACAACAUGCCUUGGAAAAGGUUCAAAACAUGCUAGAUAAGAGUGAUGAUAUGUUAGGUGAAGAAAUGGAUCGCACUAAAGCCUUGACUGAUAAUCUUCAGAGACUUCAGUCUAGGUUUGAUAACCUUCAAAGUCAUCAUAACACUCUCUUAUCUGAUCAUGAGAAACUUUCUUAUGAAUUUCUUCAAAGAAAGCAAGAUCUUGAGAAGCUAAGAGUGAGUUAUGAAGAUCUUCAGAAGGAGCGCGAUUCAUUACUUGCUCAACAAAUCAGCACUACUCAGGAAGAAUUUGUUCCUCCAUGCUUAAAGUGCAUUGAACGUGAAUCUGCCAAUUCUUCACCUAAAUGUUCAAAUGCUUCAACUGUUACAAAUUCUUCACCUGCCUCUGCUAUCACCAAUUCCUCAUCUGAGGACAUUGCUAGUAUCACUGACGAUGCAUGGCUGAAGGAACUAUACACGACAGGCAUGUACAAAAGCCUCAAAGGGCAUCAGAUUCUCUAUGAUGUGCUCAAAAAGCAGAUCCUCAACAGAAACCCUAGGAAAGAGGGUAUUGCCUUUGAGAGGAAACUUAAUGCUGAUGGAACAUAUUGGAAGCCUGAGUAGUACCCCAAAACCUCAUGGGUUGCUGCAAAGGGACCUCCAGUUGAUCCAUCCAUGUUAUCUGGCUUUACAUGUGAAUCUCCUCGUUCUUCUGAUGAGUCAUUUGAAUCCAACUAUAAACUGUUCAAAAAUCAGAAUGGUGAAGUAUUUGCUAGAUAUGUUGGGACUAACUGCAGGAACGGUUCCCCUAUGAAGAAAAUCUGGUUUCCCAAAAGUUAUGUUGAAAGUCUUCAGGUGAAUGUCCUCAUGACACCACCUGUGAAGAAUGGGAAUCCCAGAACAAACUCUUCAUAUGGACCUAAUUCUUCAUAUGGAUCCAAGUCCUCAUAUGGACCAAAUUCCUCACAUGGAUCAAAUUCCUCAAAUGGAUCAAAGUCCUCAUAUGACUAUCAUCGUGCUAACAACUCUGUUUCGCAGGGUAGAGCUAAGGGCUACGAAUAUGCACAUUAUUCUUCAAAUCAUUAUGUUCAUAAGUCCUCGAAGAAUUUCUCUGCUUAUUCAUAUGCUUACCCUAACCCUUCUUAUGUGAAACGAAAUGGUUUGGCUUCUAUGCCACCAUUCUCGUAUGGUGCUCGCAGAGUGAUGAACUCUUUGCCACCCCUUCAGAUGUGGGUGGUGAAGAAAAAGAACUAAUCUCUUCUGCAGGGUCAGGUCUCCAGAUGUGCCUUAACGUCUGAAGAAUUUGUUGGGGACCUGACAAAAUUGCCUGAAAGGACGCAGGCUAACCAUGAUGAAAUGAACUUUCAUUUCACACGUCCUCAUACUGCUAUAUCUGUUUACCGCUUGAUGAAAUUCAUCUGAUGAACUUAAUAUCAUAUUCUUCACUGAUGAAGCAUAUGAUAUUGUAAGUUACACUAAUUCAUCUGCAGGAUGACCAACCCAAAACUACUGAAUGGGUCCUCGAUAGUGGAUGUACAAAUCACAUGACUGGUGACAAGAAUCUCUUGAUGGAUGCUCCUUUAUCACCGUCACAUCUGAAGCAUAUCAUCUUUGCUGACAAAGGCAAAAGUCAGGUAUUGGGUCUUGGUAAGGUUGCGAUCUCUAAGGAUAAACACAUGGACAAAGUCAUGCUUGUUGAGUCCUUAGGAUACAACCUCAUGUCAGUCUCAAUGCUUUGUGAUCUUGAUAUGGUUGUUGUCUUUGGCAAGUAUCGCUGUGUUGUGAUUACGGAAGCUGACAAUUCCAAAGUCUUCGAAGGCUUUAGGAGAGGAGAUUUGUAUAUUGUUGAUUUCUCUACAGGACCACAACCAGCCGUGUGCCUACUUGCAAAAGCUUCAGAAGGCUGGCUAUGGCAUCGACGACUUGGUCACGCAGGCAUGAGGAAUUUUCACACGCUUGCGAAGAAGAAGCAUGUCAUUGGCAUUGAGAAUGUCAAAUUCCUCAAGGAUCACUUAUGCGGAGCCUGUGAAGCUGGAAAAAUGACCAAGGCCAAGCAUCCAGCGAAGACUAUCAUGACCACUACUCGUCCAUUCGAAUUGCUUCACAUGGACCUCUUCGGACCUAAUCAUUACUCAGCAGUCACUAAUGCUGCUUCUCUAUAUGGUUUUGUCAUUGUUGAUGAUUACUCUCGAUAUACAUGGGUACACAUUGUUACUUACAAACAUGAAGUGCAGGAAGUCUUCAAACGAUUUUCUUCGAGGGCUUCAACCAACUUUGGUGUGAAGAUCAAGCACAUCAGAAGUGACAAUGGAACUAAGUUCAAGAAUUCCGGUCUUGAUGACUAUCUUGAUGAACUUGGUAUUACUCAUGAGUUAUCUGCUCCUUAUACUCCUCAGCAAAAUGGCAUCGUGGAGCGCAAGAACAGAACUCUUGUUGAGAUGGCUCGCACUAUGCUUGAUGAAUACAAAACGCGUGAUCAUUUUUGGAUUGAUGCAAUUGAUACUGCGUGCCACAUCAUCAACAGAGUAUAUCUUCACAAAUUCUUCAAGAAGACGGCCUAUGAACUCCUCACUGACAAGAAACCCAAUGUGAGUUAUUUCAAAGUCUUCGGUGCUAAAUGUUGGAUUAGAGAUCCUCACCACAAUUCUAAAUUUGCACCGAAAGCACAUGAAGGUUUUAUGCUUGGUUACAGAAAGGACUCGCACACCUACAGAGUCUUCAACAUCGCUCUUCACAAGAUUGUUGAAACUGUAGAUGUGCGGUUCGAUGAAACUAAUGGCUCGCAAAGAGAGCACCUACCUUCUGUGUUAGAUGAACCAGCACCUGAGGAUUCUAUCAAGUUCAAGGCAACCGAGGAUGUCAUUCCUACUGAAGAAUUAGCUGAAGAAUUCAUUCCAGUACGCGAAGAACAUCGAGCUGACGCACCUGAAGACAAUGCUGAAGACAAUGGUGCUGAGGAAAAUGAUCAAAUACCUCGACGUCAACCAGCUCAUCCUCGCGUUGCAAAAGAAGUACAAGUUGACAAGAUCAUCGAUGACAUCGAAGCGCCAGGUCCUCUCACACGCUCAAAAGCUUCACAUUUAUCUAACUUUUGUGGGCACUAUGCUUUUCUCUCUAUCACAGAGCCCACUAAGGUAGAUGAAGCAUUUUUGGAGCCGGAGUGGAUUCAGGCUAUGCAAGAAGAAUUACAUCAGUUCGAGCUCAACAAUGUCUGGGAACUGGUCAAACGUCCAGAUCCUCACAAGCAUAAUAUCAUUGGCACCAAGUGGAUCUACCGCAACAAGCAAGAUGAAAAUGUCCUUGUGGUAAGGAAUAAGGCACGACUGGUAGCUCAAGGCUACACACAGGUUGAAGGAAUUGAUUUUGGUGUAUCUAGUGCCCCUUAGUGAUUUUGGUGUAUUGAAGACUUAUAGGUUAAGGGACUAAUGCGUUUGUGAGUGUACACAGGUCUAUUAGUCUAUGAGGAGUUUGAUAUUUACAGAGAAAGUCAACCCCUAAAAAUGAAGUUCUUCAUUUGAAGACUUUGAUAUUCUGAAGACUUUCUGAAGACUUUGAAAGUGAAGAAAUUGGUGUGACCUUGAAGACUUGGUAUUCAUUUGUGGAACAUGAAGCGUGAAGACUUUUGUUUUCAUAGUUUCAUUUUCUCUUUCUUGAGUCAUAGGAAACACCGUACUGUUAAAGGGGGUCGAGGAAAUACUAAGGAAAAAUUUCCAUGUGAUGCUCAACUCAAAAUCCUACACCUACCAAUCCCUUCGAGUGAAGCCUUUGGAAAUCUCAUACAGUUCAGUCACUUUCUUCAGUGACAGAGACGAAGUUCUUCUGGUCACUGAUGAAUUUGUUCUGACUGAGGAGUUAGGAAUUCGCCAGUGCGAAUUACCUACACAGUGAGGAACAUGAUAGCCCUGAGAAAUUUGAGAGUCAAAUUUCCGACCGUUACUGUGCUGCGCGCCAGCUGUCCCAAAAUAUCUUAUCCACCUAACGGUCAUAUCAUUGAGGGGCAUUUAUGUCUUAUCAUGUCGGGCUGCUCCCUAGGCUAUAAAUAGCCGCCCCCUACAACCACUAGUUGGUUGGCUACUCCGAGAGAACUUGACACUUGUCAUUUGAGAGCAACCCAUCCUCCGAGGACUUUGAGCGAAAAUCAUCAAAUGAGGAAAAUCCCAAACCCAAACACCUACAAACCCCAAAGUGAUUGAGCAUCACUGAAGAAAUUGAUCCUGCGUGGAUUCGACGCUUGUUACCUUUGAAGACUGUGCUUCUUCCAAACGGUUAGGCGUCAAGGUCUAGAGCAUCCAAGAGGAAUUGUGGAUCGCCGAGUGACCAAGUCUGUGAAGGUUUGGAAGUCGCCUGAAGACUUACCACGAGUGAUUGGACGGGAUCUGUGUGAUCUUAGUUCAAGGAGAAUACGGUGAGGACUGGGUGUCCUGAGCUGCGUGCUCAGAGACUGGGUGUCCGGGACUGCGUGUCCUCGAGUUUAAAUACUCAGCCGCUCCAACCAGACGUACAACUGAGACAACAGUUGGAACUGGUCUACCAAAUCAUUGUCUUCACCAACCUACUGGUUCUAUUUCCUCAACCCUUUCAUUUCCUCAUUACUGUGUUGAGUGUUUGUUCAUAUCUGUGUUUGAAGACUUUGACUGAAGACUUUCUCAAUUUCCUCAGUUCAAUUUCUUCAGUCUGUAUGUCUUCAUCUUGUGUUAUCCUGUGAUUACGCUUUCUGUACUCUGUGCUUGUCUUCAUUUCAUCAUGAUGACCAUGCUUGCAUUCUGUCAUACUUACUUAUGAGUACUUAUUCCGCUGCUAAUAGUUCUUCACUAAGAAUUUUCUCACCGGCAAAUUCCUCUGUGAAGAAUUCAUAAAAAUCGCCUAUUCACCCCCCUCUAGUCAACAUAACGCACUUUCAAAAGGAAUAUCAAAUGGAGUCCAAAUGCGAUGAAACCUUCGGGAACGAUCUUUCUGGAACAAAUGCAAACCAGGAGACUUGGAGUGGACGUCAAGAAGCAGACGAGGCGGCCACGAGGGUGGACGGCGCGCCCAGUAAGGGUGGAUGCGCCCCCUGCCUCGUGGGCCCCUCGUGGCUCCACCGACCUACUUCUUCCUCCUAUAUAUAUACCUACGUACCCCGAAACCAUCCAGGAGCACCACGAAAACCUAAUUCCACCGCCGCAACCUUCUAUAUCCGCGAGAUCCCAUUUUAGCACCGUCGCCGGCGCUCCGCCGGAGGGGGAAUCCACCACGGAGGGCCUCUACAUCAUCUCCAAGGCCUCUCUGAUGAGUUGUCAGUAGUUUACCACAGACCUUCGUGUCCAUAGUUAUUAGCUAGAUGGCUUCUUCUCUCUCUCUCUUUGAUGUAACUCUUUUUGGAGAUCUAUUCAAUGUAACUCUUUUUGCGGUGUGUUUGUCGAGAUCCGAUGAAUUGUGGGUUUAUGAUCAAGUUUAUCUAUGAGAAAUAUUUGAAUCUCCUCUGAAUUCUUUUAUGUAUGAUUGGUUAUCUUUGCAAGUCUCUUCGAAUUAUCAGUUUGGUUUGGCCUACUAGAUUGAUCUUUCUUGCCAUGGGAGAAGUGCUUAGCUUUGAGUUCAAUCUUGCGGUGCUCGAUCCCAGUGACAGUAAGGGAAAUGACACAUAUUGUAUUGUUGCCAAUGAAGAUAAAAAGAUGGGGUUUAUAUCACAUUGCAUGACUUUAUCCCUCUACAUCAUGGCAUCUUGCUUAAUGCGUUACUCUGUUCUUAUGAACUUAAUACUCUAGAUGCAGGCAGGAGUCGGUCAAUGUGUGGAGUAAUAGUAGUAGAUGCAGGCAGGAGUCGGUCUACUUGUUACGGACGUGAUGCCUAUAUACAUGAUCAUGCCUAGAUAAUCUCAUAACUACGCACUUUUCUAUCAAUUGCUCGACAGUAAUUUUUUCACCCACCGUAAUAAUUACGCUAUCUUGAGAGAAGCCACUAGUGAAACCUAUGGCCCUUGGGUCUAUCUUUUAUCAUACAAGUUUUCUAUCUAGUUUUAUUUGCAUCUUUUACUUUCCAAUCUAUAUCAUAAAAAUACCAAAAAUAUUUAUCUUAUCAUAUUAUCUCUAUCAGAUCUCACUUUUGCAAAUUUUCGUGAAGGGAUUGACAACCCCUUUAUCGUGUUGGUUGCGAGGUUCUUGUUUGUUUGUGUAGGUGCGUGGGACUUUUGAGGAUCCUCCUACUGGAUUGAUACCUUGGUUCUCAAAAACUGAGGGAAAUACUUACGCUAUUGUGCUGCAUCACCCUUUCCUCUUCAAGGAAAACCAAUGCAAGCUCAAGACGUAGCGGUGGCGUGCGUGCACAUCUUCACUACGUGCAUGUACCGCCAGUGUGGCUCAGGGAGGACGAGUACAUUCUUCUGGAAUCAGCAUCCCGUCACUAUGAUCAAUCCACACAAGGAGGUCGCGACAACGCCUCCACAUGUGCCAUGUGGCUUAAUGAACUAUAAGAGAGACACUAUGUAGCAUGCCAUUAGAAUUCUAAUUUAUGUGUUUUGCACAUACUCGAAGUACUAGCAAGGGACAUGUGCAUUGCGCGCAUCAGAUUUUGCAACCAAAUUAUGAAUAAAUACCACACUAUAGCAUGUAAGCUCUGAGUCAUAUAUGCCUGACCUUCGUUUAAUUCUUAUAGUUCAUCUCAUUCAAAAUCAAUUAGUUUUUAUAAAAAAGCUAGGGCCUCUUGGAUUCGAAGGAUUCCCAAAACGCGGGAAUAGGAAAAACAUGGGAUUAGAGUGGAAUGUCGUCUUGAAUCCUACAGGAUUGUACGAGUGUUUGAUUGUGCAUAAAAAACGCAAAAUUCUUUCAAAGAGGUUUGAGUGGAUGGGAUGUUUCCUAUGAAAUCUAGUGCAAAUGAAUCACAUGGAAAAAUUCCUAUGUUUUAUAAUCCUACGAAUUAAACAACCAAGAUAGGAAAAAUUCCUAAGGAUUAGAAUCCUCCAAAAUUCCUUUGAGAAUACUUUGAAUCAAAUAAGCCCUUAAUCUAUUUUAUGAUUCAUGGAAUUGUGCGUUGUAAAGCAUAAAGUAAAAACAAAUAAUGGCAAUUCAAAUAGAAAAUAAGUUUGGGCAGUUAUGAUACGGAAGAUUCUAGAACAAAGGAGAACCACUGUUGUUUUGAGGUUUGUGCAUUAUGCUUAAGUUCAACCAUGGAGUCUGCUAGAUUGUACAUGUGAAAAAAUCCGGCGGGGGCUAGAAUAUGGUGCGAGGGGCUGAGUGGAGGGAGACUAUGAAGGAGUGCACAAGUGUGAGAUAGAUAUUUAGAGAGAGGGGGCGAGAACGUACGCUGUUGCGCACAGUGGCAGAGCCAUGAAAAAUAAGUGAGCUAGGGGGCCAAGCAUUGCUAAUCCUUUACGAGGAGGGCCAAUUCAUGAAAUUAAACCAUUUUUACCAGCAAUUGUCUAAUGAUCACAUUCAUAUUAGCCUCGAUAUAUAGUGAUGUUAGGGGGGGGGCAGGGCCCUUGCUGCCCUUGUCUUCGCCAUUGUGCGCACGUCUAAGAGAUGAAGCAGAAGGCUGGGAUGAUGAGAGGGGGACGUUGGAUAUAUAAUUAAUUUGGGUGUAUUAGCUAUAUAUGUAAUCCUAUGUAGAGAGGUAUAGAUUGAUCGAUGUGGGCGUGGGAAAUAGGGUGGGACCUCACUAGAUAUAUAGAUCGAUCAGUUUGUGUGGAAAACUAUGAAAGACCUAGCUAUACACACACACAUAGAGGAACAUCGAUCGUUGCGCAUGCACGUGAGAGAUAAAGAAUGCCCGGUAUGAUGGACAGCGGAUGUGUGUGUGUGUGUGCCUUCAUGGGAGACCGACCUGAAGAAAAAGAUUGCAUGUGUGCGAUGGAUAAUGCCGACUAGUAGUGUGAGUGCAUGCAUGCACGAGAGAAAGUUAGUGGUACAAUUAUAAAGAGAAGCCGACUAUGUGUGUGUAAAAUACUAGGUGAGGUCAUAAUCAAUGCAAAGUUGAAUUCAAAUAUUUGAAUAAGAGAUCAUGAUGUUUGAAACCCAUGCAUGCAUGAAUAUAACGAAGAUCUGUGCGCUGUGGUUUGGAAACGAGCAUGUUGUAAUGUAUACACAUUGAACAAGGUCAGACUGAUUUGAAUUUGAGAUACCGAUGUUAGACAUCGUUUGGCCACAUUGCAUCUGUGCAUGGACACACUAUUCUAAUUGGAGAUGAUGGGUGGCUUUCGCAUCACAUAUCUAUAUCUAUACCCCUAUAUAUAUAUUAUACUAUAUAUUUUUUAUAUAGUGUGUGGGUAACUUUAACUUUGAAAGAUGGUCGUUGGAUGAGGCCAAUCUGAUGGUGCAGAGAUGGCAAAUUUGAGCACUACUGGUCGUUGGAUAUCAUCCAGAUUCCACUAGAUUUUGCCACAUGUACAAUUUCGAAGACUCCAUGGUUGAACUUAAGCAUAAUGCACAAACCUCAAAACACAAACACUUCUUCUUUGUUCUAGAAUCUUCUGUAUCAGAAUUACCCAAAUGUUUUUCUACAUGAUUUGCCAUUAUUUGUUUUUACUUUAUGCCUUACAACGCACAAUUCCAUGAAUCUUAAAAUAGAUUAGCUUUCUGAUAAAAACUAGAUGAUUUUGAAUGAAAUGAACUAUAAGAAUUAAACGAACAUCUACAUCAUGCAUAUAUGACUCAAAGCUUACAUGCUAUAAUGUGGUAUUUAUUCAUAAUUUGGUUGCCAACUCUCAUGCAUGCAAUGCACGUGUACCUUACUAGUCUAAAUGGUGUUUGUGUGUGUGUUGUGCGUGUUAAACACAUUGUACAUAGUAUAUAAUACAUGGUUUAGAUUCCGAACAUCUAGCUAGAGCAUACAUGUACUGUGAUUUGAAUUCAACACAAAAUGGAUACAUAUAUUUGAAUUUGAGAUCGUAUGUACAUGUAGUUCGUAUUUAUAUAGGAAUUUACUUCUCCUAUAUUAAUGUCAUGUGUUGUGAAGAUAAUAUUUAGAUGGUUGUAUAACUAACCCGAGUACAAUCCCAUUCAAACAGGGAAAAUGUACUCAAAUUUAGUCCAUAUGCUAGACAACACACAUUGUUUUUUUAUUGUUGAGGGAAGUGCAAAUUGUUUUGGUACUGUACACGUUAUGUUUGUUGUCCCGAUUGUAAUAGUUUUUUGUUGUAUUUGAAUGCAUUUCUAGUAAUAUUGUAAAACGGGACAUGGCUCUUGUCUCUCGAAAUUUCGAGCCGCGCCUUAUUAUGCCGAAAUUUCAAGCUAGCGACUCUGUCUAUCGUGCUGCGAAACUCCCGCCACUUCAACCCGCGCCUUGUUACCCCGAAAAUUUUAAGAUAUAUCUUUGUCUUGUUGUGCUCCGACAACUCCCUCCAUAUCAACCCGCGCCUUGCUAUUCCAAAAUUACAACGUGCGUGAAAACUCCCACCUCCUGUGAAAUACUGACAUGCAAAAUGCCUAUGGUACCCCUGAACCGAAAGAAUCGCCUCAAAUCGGUGGGGGUACUUUCGUAAAUUACCCCACAUUACGGACAAGCGCGUCCCUAAGCCAUGGUUCCCCACUCCCGUCCCAUCCGCCCACCCAUUCAUACACCGAGGCCGCGAAAACCCACACCCUCCUCCGUUUGCCACCCAGUCGGAGCCUCUUCCCUGACGACGUCAUCCACAACAACACCUCGACGUCCCUCAUCCACCGUACCGGAUGAGGAUCCGUCGUCGAUUUCAUCAUCCCGCUGGUUCAGCGACCUCAUCCUCCACCUCCAAGGAGUUGCCCCGACGUUCCCCUCGUCUUUCGCGCCACCUCCAUUCCCACACGCCGUCUUCACCUGCAUCACCGGAAGAGCAUCAUCAUCACCGUUUCCUCAGAUGAAGUUGUGGCCUAAUCGGCACCACCAAACAGGUUGUACACUAAUCGCCGCAUUUUCUUCUUGAUUCGAUCUCACAGUGCUGUCGGCGCUCGGUCCCGAGUCAACACGGCAUGGCUCCAUCUACGGCGGCGUCGCCAACCACUUCCUCCACGGGUCGGUCCCUCGGUGGCGACAUCCACAUCAGUAGGAGCUGCUGCUACUUUAGCUCUCACUCGUGCUGCUGCUCUACUCUUCCUCUUGGUCCCCUACCCGGUCUGCUCUUGCUAUUGCUCUUGCUCACGCUGCUGCUCUCGCUCUUGCUCUUGCUUGCGAUGCUACUCUGAUUUAGCUACACUUCAGUCGACUGAAUUGACUUUUGGGUCAGUCGAUUUUUAGGGGGUGGGGUGGGCUCGUCGGAGUUAAGGAAGAACCAGCCGCAACAGGGAGGGGGCUCACCUAAGAGGUACCCCACUAUCUAUCUUAGGGUAGNNNNNNNNNNNNNNNNNNNNNNNNNNNNNNNNNNNNNNNNNNNNNNNNNNNNNNNNNNNNNNNNNNNNNNNNNNNNNNNNNNNNNNNNNNNNNNNNNNNNNNNNNNNNNNNNNNNNNNNNNNNNNNNNNNNNNNNNNNNNNNNNNNNNNNNNNNNNNNNNNNNNNNNNNNNNNNNNNNNNNNNNNNNNNNNNNNNNNNNNNNNNNNNNNNNNNNNNNNNNNNNNNNNNNNNNNNNNNNNNNNNNNNNNNNNNNNNNNNNNNNNNNNNNNNNNNNNNNNNNNNNNNNNNNNNNNNNNNNNNNNNNNNNNNNNNNNNNNNNNNNNNNNNNNNNNNNNNNNNNNNNNNNNNNNNNNNNNNNNNNNNNNNNNNNNNNNNNNNNNNNNNNNNNNNNNNNNNNNNNNNNNNNNNNNNNNNNNNNNNNNNNNNNNNNNNNNNNNNNNNNNNNNNNNNNNNNNNNNNNNGCGGUAGGGUGGUUGAGGGAGUCCUGGAUUAAGAGGUCCUCGGCCGUCCAGACUAUGUGACAUGGGCCGGACUGAUGGGCUAUGAAGAUACAAGACAGAAGACUUCUUCCCGUGUCCGGAUGGGACUCUACUUGGCGUGGAAGGUAAGCUUGGCGUUCGGAUAUGAAGAUUCCUUUCUCUGUAAACCGACUUUGUACAACCCUAGUCUCCUCCGGUGUCUAUAUAAUCCGGAGGGUUUAGUCCAUUGGGGACAAUCAUAAUCAUACAUGCUAGACUUUUAGGGUUUAGCCAUUACAAUCUCGUGGUAGAUCAAGUCUUGUAAUACUCAUAUUCAUCAAGAUCAAUCAAGUAAGAAGUAGGGUAUUACCUCCAUAGAAAGGGCCCGAACCUGGGUAAACAUCGUGUCCCCCGUAUCCUGUUACCAUCGACCUUAGACGCACAGUUUGGGACCUCCUACCCGAGAUCCGCCGGUUUUGACACUGACAUUGGUGCUUUCAUUGAGAGUUCUGCUGCGUUGUCACCAAAAGGUUUUGAUGGCUCCAUCAAUCAUCUAUAACAAUGCAUUCCAGGGGGAGGUUUUUCUCCCCGGACAGAUCUUCGUAUUCGGCAGCUUCGCCCUGCGGGCUAACUCGCUUGGCCAUCUAGAGCAGAUCGAUAGCUACGCCCCUGGCCAUCAGGUCAGGUUUGGAAGCUUGAAUUACGUUGCCGAUAUCCACGGAGACUUGAUCUUCGAUGGAUUCGAGCCCAUGACAGCCGCUCCCUGCGAGCACGAUGAACAUGACUUAAAUCUGUCAUCGGACCGUGCUCAGGAGAUAGCGCCUAUAACCGCUCUGGCCCUAGAUCUGGAGCAGAUUGCGCCGUUCGAGGACAGGAAGCUUAACCCCACCAUGGAAGCCGUAGACUCAGUGGCGUUGGAGCCGAACACAGAUCCAACCUCUAGCAGAGCCUGUGUCAUCAAAACCUCGGAUUUGUCUCCGGCCAUAGGUUCCAAACCAUGUACAUCCGCGCCCAUCGAAAUUGAUCGGGCACUGAUCGUCGAGUUCAGCUCCGCGGACAUCUUCCGGCACUAGCCUUUAGGCGAUGUGCUAAGCUCGUUAAAAGCCCUCUCAUUAUCAGGAGACUCUCAGCCGAACUAUAUCCGGCUUGAAUGGGAAGCUGAUGACGAAGAAUUUCGCUUCCCACCCACCACCCAUUGCAUAACCACUGUCGAAGACUUAACUGACAUGCUUGACUACGACUCCGAAGACAUCGAUGGUGUGGACGACAAUGCUGGAGAGGAGCAGGAGCCACCGCCUACAGGGCGCUAGACAGCCAGCUCCUCGUAUGACAUAUACAUGGUGGACACACCCAAAGAGAACAACAACAACAAUGAAAAUCCAAUUGAGGAUAAGCCUCCUGAGAUACAACCAAAACGCCGGUGUCAGCGACGCCACUCUAAACCACGCCGUGGAAAAAACAACAAUACCAGCACAGGAGAAAACAAUACUCCGGACGAUGCCGAAGACAAUGAAGAUCCCGUUGAGCCAACCUGCGAACAGGAUGAACGGGAAGAUGGGCGAGUUAGCCCUAAUGAACGGGCCAUAAACGAAGACUCGGAGGACAGUAACUACCUUCUGCUCUCUGAGGACGAGGUGAGCCUCGGCGACAAAGAAUUUAUCGUGCCUGAGGGACCUCUCGAGCAGGAGCAUUUUAAGCACUGGCUAAUAGCCACUUCAAGGAGCCUGAAAAAGAAGCAGCAGCAGCUUCAAGUUGAUCAAGAUCUGCUCAAUGAUAGAUGGACUGAUGUCCUAGCAGCCGAGGAAUACGGCCUCGAGCGCCCAACCAAAAGUUACCCGAAGAGCAAACUACUACCCCAAUAUGAUGACGAGGCGCUGGAGCCCAUACUACCAUCGCAUAAUGCGGCUGACCGACCACCACGUAGUCGGGACAAAGCGGCCACUCAAGCCGAACACCAUCCCGCACCUCCUCGCCAAAAAAACAGAAAUACAACAACUCGAGGAUACACAUAUGACCUGCGGCAUGACUUGGAAAACGAAGCAGGCCAGACCAGAUCGAUCUAUGGAUUGCGGGGGCGUGCCCCGAUGCUCGAUGAUGGCCACCCGGCCGGACGUGACAAAUAUAACCACAUCCGAGCCGAAAACCGUAGACGAACUCCAUCUGAGCUAUGUCACGAUCUGGCUUGAUAUAGAGGCGCCGCAAACCCCCUAUGCUUCACUGAUGAAGUAAUGGAACAUGAAUUCUCAGAAGUGUUUAAACCCGUGAACGUUGAAUCAUAUGAUGGGACAACAGACCCCGCGGUAUGGAUUGAUGAUUUUCUUCUCCAUAUUCACAUGACCUGCAGUGAUGAUUUUCAUGCCAUCAAAUAUCUCCCGCUAAAACUCAAGGGACCAGCUCGGCACUGGUUGAACAGUCUGCCCGAAAACUCCAUUGGAAGCUGGGAAGACUUGGAAGAUGCCUUCCUAGACAACUUUCACGGCACAUAUGUCCGAUCUCCGGAUGCUGACGACUUAAGUCACAUAGUUCAACAGCCCGGAGAGUCAGCCAGGGAAUUCUGGACUAGGUUCUUAACUAAGAAGACCAGAUCGUCGACUGUCCGGAUGCCGAAGCCCUCGCGGCCUUUAAACACAGCAUCCGUGACGAAUGGCUUGCCCGGCACCUCGGCCAAGAAAAGCCAAAGUCCAUGGCAGCCCUUACGAUGCUUAUGAAUCGCUUCUGUGCGGGCGAAGAUAGCUGGCUAGCCCGUAGCAAUAAUAAUGCAAGCGAACCUGGCACUUCUGAAGCCAGAAAUCGCAACGGCAAGCCCCAGCGCAACUGACACAAGCAUUGAAACAACAGUGACGACAUCGAAGACACGACGGUCAAUGCCGGAUUCAGUGGCUCUAAGUCCGGUCAGCGGAAGAAGCCAUAUAAAAGAAACAGUCCGGGCCCGUCCAGCUUGGACGCAUACUCGAUCAUCCAUGCCAAACCCACAGCACUCCUGAUAAACCAGUCAAUCAUACCAACAGAGAGUGUUGGGUUUUUAAACGGGCCGACAAGUUAAAUGCCGAGAACAAGCAGAAGGGGUCGCACAGCGAGAACGAUGACGAGGAGCCCCAGCCACCGAACACAGGGGGACAGAAGAAGUUUCCCCUGCAAGUUAAAACGGUGAACAUGAUAUACGUUACCCACAUUCCCAAGAGAGAGCACAAGUGCGCUCUCAGGGACUUCUACGCGAUGGAGUCAGUCGCCCCAAAGUUCAACCCAUGGUCAUCCUGUCUAAUCACUUUUGAUCGCAGGGACCAUCCGACCAGUAUCCGUCAUGGCGGUUCAGCCGCAGUGGUCCUUGACCCAAUCAUUGACGGAUUCCAGCUUACACGAGUCCUCAUGGACGGUGGCAGCAGCCUGAACCUGCUCUAUUAGUUUACAGUGCGCAAAAUGGGUAGCGAUCCCUCAAGGAUCAAGCCCACAAAAACCACCUUUAAAGGCGUCAUACCAGGUGUAGAGGCUUGCUGUAUGGGCUCAAUCACACUGGAGGUGGUCGUAGGAUCCCCGGAUAAUUUCUGAAGUGAAGAGUUGAUCUUCGAUAUUGUCCCUUUCUGCAGUGGCUAUCACGCACUACUCGGAUGAACCGCAUUCGCUCGAUUCAAUGCGGUGCCACACUAAGCUUAUCACAAGCUCAAGAUGCCCGGACCACACGGUGUCAUAACAAUCAACGGAAAUACGGAACGCUCCCUCCGUACCGAGGAGCACACCGCGGCCCUCGCAGCAGAAACACAGAGCGGCCUUUUCAGGCAGAACCUUAAUUUGGCGGCCAAGCUCCCGGACAUUGUCAAACGAGUCCAAACUACUCUGCAGCAGGACUGUCCAGUUCAUCAAGAGCUCUACUAGCAAUUUGGCCUCCGUCUCAGGCCCGACCAAACAACGACAUUUGUACCGCGCGUACAUAACUACGCACUCAAAAUACCAUGGGCAUAGACGGAGGCACAUCUAGAUCGUAGUCCACAGUAUGGCUCAACUGCCCCUGGACACACAUACUUUCACUUUUUCUUUUUCUUUUCAGGUUUCUUUUCUAACCAGGCCUUUCCUGGUGACUUGAUCGUCGGACCUAUCAAGGGACAGAUGCACCAAGAUGGCGAGAAGCUUUGACAUAUAAGGGAAUCUCUAGGUGGUAUCUUUUAACGAUCGUUAUACCUGUUUUAAGGACCCGCACGCAACUCUCCCUUGGUAAUGGCAUGUUAAAUAGCCAUGUUGCUUAUCGCACUACUUGUACAAUUACGCUUGGACGUAUUAAUCAAAAUACAAUGGAAAAUAGUUUGCGGCUCAAUCUUUGCGGCAUCAGCAUAUUAAUUGAUUUUUUCUUUUCUUGAUAUUCUUAUUAAUUGCACCCGUACACUCUGGUACGCCUUAAUUCGCCAAGGGCUUCGUUACGCCCCAUAAUACGGCAACAAAGUCCGAACACUUUUAUAGUAGUUCGGCACCCCGAAUUGUAGCAUUAUAUGCAUCGGGUCCGAAUCAUGUCUUUGGUCCAGAGUUUGGUUGCCCAGCUCCUGUGCUUGCUACCCUACGUUCCGCUAUAUCGGCUAGGGUAGUAAAGGGAGAACUACUGCGAUUGUGCCAUGGUUCUUCCAGAUGAGCACCUUAGUAGAGAAAGCCGAAAACUGACUAUCAUGAUGCGGCGAGAGCCGGUCAGCUGUUCGAGAGGUCACAAAUCUUUAGCCAUUUUUUCUGCAUUGUGCGAUGAAUUGGUUUUUAUCCGAUCAGGUGUUUACAACACCCCAAGUUCGGACUUACGAACACUAGGGGCUACGCCUAAAUUUCUAUUGUCAAACUCCUAUGGCUAAGUGAGGGUGAUAAAGCCACAUAGUCCGAUUGCCUGGUACGUUGCGCUAAACACCUCCUUAAAGGACCAAAACUUUGGAUAAAGAGUGUUUAGAUUCAUCCCAAACACCCCUGUACUGCCUACGUGGGGGCUGAAGCCAACGACUGGCCAACUCUCAGAUUUAAUAAAACGGCCGCACAAGAGGUAAAAUUUUAAAUAACAAACAUUAUAUUACAUAACGACUCUCUUUCAUAUUACAGGAAAGGAUUACAUGAACAUAUUCACUCAAAGAUUACAUCCUUAGGGCAUUGUCCGGCCACAAGGCGGGACCCCUCCAAGACACUGUCAAAAUAUAGUUCGGGUGUGCGGCGCUCCUUGCCCGUAGGCGGUCCCUCGGUCAUAAGCUUCGCGACGUCCAUCUUCACCCAGUGCAUCUUGAGUCGGGCGAAGGCCAUUCGCGCACCUUUGAUGCAGACUGACCACUUGAUAGUAUCAAGCCGAGGGCAGGCAUCGACCAGCCGCUUCAUGAGCCCGAAGUAGCUGCUGGGAAGGGCUUCGGUAGGCCAUAGCCGUAUUAUCAAAUCCUUCAUGGCUAGCUCGGCCGCCCUAUGCAGUUCGACCAGCUGUUUUAGCUGAUCGCUAAAGAGCACCGGAUGUUCUGGAGCAAGAUAUUGCAACCAAAACAUCUUCUCCAUUGAGCUCCCCUCUUCGGCUUGGAAGAAUUCCGUAGUGUUGGACACGCUGCAGGCAGAUCCGCAAACGCCUCUGGAGAACUCCAAAUCCGGGUCAGUAAGAGGAACCUUGUCUUCACAUAUUUGCUUUGCAUAAUAAAGGCCUUACCCGCCAUGAUUUUCUUGGCCGCCUGGAUUUCCUGCAGGACGCCCUAGCUUCAACUCGGGCAUCGUGUGCGCUCUGGCGGGCCUUGGCAAGUUCGGACUCUUGAUCAGUAAUGUUGCGCUCCAAGGACUCGCACUUCUUGACGGCGUCCUCGAGCUCUUGCUGGACCUCACUGACCUGGGCCUCAGGCUUUUUGCGUGCGGCUUGUUCCUUGGCUGCUCUAUCCUUGGCCUCGGCCAUCACCUUCUUGAGGGCCUCCACCUCGGUCAUUACUCCUAAUAAAUAUCAUGACACUUUAGUCAGAACAAAUCGUUCAUCCUUUCUGAAUUUAGAAAAGGUUAUUGCAUACCUUUACUUUCCUCUAGUUGCUUCUUCACGCGGCCGAGCUCUUCCUCGGUCCGCUCCAGACUCCGCUUUAGUCCGGAGACCUCAGCAGCAUGAGAGGUCGUAGCCGACAACGACACCUACAUUAUUCACAUAGACAUGUCAGGUUAGUCUCCUGCGAAAAUUAUUUGAUCCUCUGUUUGGCAUUUCUUUCCGAAUACUGAACAGAGUCUCAGGGGAUACUAUCUAUACUGUGUCAUUUUGUUUAAUUGCAUUGCUUACCUCAAAGCCUGUUAGAAGGCUAGUGCAGGCUUCGGUCAGUCCGCUUUUCGUGGACUGGAUCCUCUCAAUCACCGUACCCAUAAGGGUACGGUGUUCCUCGACAAUGGAAGUGCCUCACGGAGCUUGCAGCAAAGAAUCCGGUGCCUCUUGAUGGACGGAGGUCAUCGGCAGAAUAGGUGCACCUCCUUCUCUUGAAAGAGGCUGCUUGCCUGAUUUCGGAGCCGUAUGGGUAUCCGAAAUUGUAUUCGGUUGGGGGCCGAAUUGGAUAUGACCCCCCAUCGUUAGUAUCCAUGGGGGUUUGCUCCCCCCAUGUGUCCGGCAGCCGAGGUUUCACCCUCUGGCACCUCCCUUACGACAUCCUGCGUCUCUCCCUCGCCUGGGAUCCUUCGGGACAACACCUCGGUGUUAUCCAUGGCCUUGGGAGAGGAAGCUACCGAAAGGGUCCUGCUUUUCAUCGCCUCCGGGUCUAGCGAAUCCUCCGAUGAGGAUCGCUCAAGGUUGGACCGAGCUGGACUGCAAAUGCGUGAUUCGACAUGUAACUACUAUAAAGUAGUAAGGCCGGAUAUAUGAAUGUGUCCGAGUUUUGGAGUAUUUACGAUUUGGCCAUGGGCUUGAGCCUGGGGUGCCAUUCCGAGCCGCUGUCGAUGGCCGCGGUGGAGUCAUCCGGAAGGGAAGCUUUCCCCUUCUUGGACGCUUCGGCCUCCAAACGUGUGGAGGCCGUCCUCUUGUUUCUCCCCCCUGCAGGGGGAAUGACUUUAUUCUUCUUCCUCCUCCUCUUCCUCUUCAUCUUCGAUGGUGGAGGAGUGAGCCUCGGUGUCUUCGGACAUCAUGUCCGAAGUGCCGUUGCGACAGAGACCACCCUUGGUCCCCUUGGGCUUCUUCUCCGGCGCUUGAUAGGGCGCCAGAACAAGCAUCCUCGUCAGGAGUGGGAUUUCUGGGUCUUCGGGCAGCGGAGCCGGACAGUGAAUCCGCUCCGCCUUCUUUGUCCAGGCAUGAAAAAGUUAAUAGGGCGGCUUAGGCAUCUUCCUUGAAUAUGCAAGCAAAGUAUACACCUUGAAAACAUGAAAAAACUUACCGGGCUAGGGGGAUGGGCCAAAUCAUGCCCACGGUCCUUGGCGGUGUCCGGCCGCAUCACGUUGGCCUUGAAAAGCACCUUCUAGAUGUCUUCGUGCGUAGUGCAGAAGAACUGCAGCAAUGUCUGGUGCUUGGCCGCUUCAUACUCCGACAAAUAGCAAGUCCGACGCUGGCACGGAAGGAUCCGGUGAAUCGGCAUCACUUGGAUCACGUUAACGAGCUUGAUUUUCUUGUUUAUCAUGCUCUGUGUGCGCGAUUGAGCCGCUGUUAGUUCAUCUGACGAAGACCAGUCCAGGCCCUUCUACGGCUAGGAUGUGAGCCACAUCAGGGCUCCUGGUCGGAAUGCGGAAGCCGCCGCCCAGUUGGUGCCGCGCGGCUCCGUGAUGUAGAACCAGGAAUUUUGCCACCCCUUGACAGUCUCCACGAAGGAGCCUUUAGGCCAUGUGACGUUGGGCAUCUUGCUCACCAUGCAGCCUCCGCACUCUGCGUGUUGGCCGCUCACCACCUUCGGCUUCACGUUGAAGAUCUUCAGCCAUAAUCUGAAGUGGGGUGGGAUGCGGAGGAAGGCCUCACACAUGACAAUGAAUGCUAAGAUGUUGAGGAUGGAGUUGGGGGCCAGAUUGUGGAAAUCCAACCCGUAGUAGAACAUGAGUCCACAGACGAACGGGUGGAGAAGAAAUCCCAGCCCGCGGACGAAGUGUGGGAGGAAUACAACCCUCUCAUGGGGCUCCGGAGUAAGGACAAUUUGUCCCUUGGCUGGGAGCCAGUGGGCAAUCUCCUUUGCCAGAUACCCAGCCUCCCGGAGCUGGAUGAUGUCCUUCUCCUUGACGGUGGAGGCCAUCCACUUGCCCUGCACUCCAGAUCCGAACAUGAUCGGAGUGCUUUGAUGGGGCGGAAAAGAUAAGAACUUGGGCGCUGGAGCUUGAGAAUGGGGGAAUCAGAGAAUGAGAGAAGGUGUGGGUGAAAAGGGUGAAUUCUUAUCCCCUUAUAAAGGCGGCGAGUAUCAAGCGCCUCCCAACUAGCCUUAAAACUCGCCUAUUCCCCAAGGGUCGUGCAGAUGGCAUGGUUGGAUUACUCAUGCCCGUAUUGAUGAGAAUCCCGCAAUAAGGGGACACAAUCUCUGCUUUGACAAGACGUGCCAAUGAAACCGCAUCUCAAAAUAUGGAGCGGCAGGCUAAAAACCGGUUCGAAUAAUGACCGGGCGGUGACGUGAUGUCACACCACGAAAAGUUGUCAGCGGAUUGGACUCAUGAAAUAUUAUAUUCUUUGCGGUUGUGUGUGGUGUUUGUUUUGCAAAUUCGGACACGCUCUCUGUGUCCGAAGACUAUUUUGGUGUAUUCAGAGGAGGAACCCGCCUUGCAAUGCCGAAGACAAUCUGCAUGUCGGACAUCUCAUCAUUGAAGCCUGGUUCAGGGGCUACUGAGGGAGUCCUGGAUUAAGGGGUCCUCGGCCGUCCAGACUAUGUGACAUGGGCCGGACUGAUGGGCUAUGAAGAUACAAGACAGAAGACUUCUUCCCGUGUGCAAAUGUGACUCUACUUGGCGUGGAAGGCAAGCUUGGCGUUCAGAUAUGAAGAUUCCUUUCUUUGUAAACCAACUUUGUACAACCCUAGUCCCCUCCGGUGUCUAUAUAAACCGGAGUGUUUAGUCCGUAGGGGACAAUCAUAAUCAUACAUGCUAGACUUUUAGGGUUUAGCCAUUACGAUCUCGUGGUAGAUCAACUCUUGUAAUACUCAUAUUCAUCAAGAUCAAUCAAGCAGGAAGUAGGGUAUUACCUCCAUAGAGAGGGCACGAACCUGGGUAAACAUCUGUCCCCCGUCUCCUGUUACCAUUGACCUUAGACUCACAAUUCGGGACCCCCUACCCAAGAUCCGCCGGUUUUGACACCGACAGCGGCGCACCACCGGCCGUGGGCGGCGGGGGGGCAGCUGUUUGGCCGAUGGUGGCUGGCGGCUCAGGGGGGUGGAGGUUGAAGAUUAAUUGCAGUCCCUUGAUUUCGUAUCCAACGGCUGCAAAAUCGACUGACCAGAGAUGAAAAAGUCAGUCGACUGACGUGUAGCCUCACCUCUAGUGCGUUCCGUUUCAACAGUAAAAUUCAGUUUCGACAUCAAAAUUCAGUUUCGACAGUUAAGUUCUGUUUCGACAGUUAAAUUCACUUUUGACAGUUAAGUUCAGAGAUGAGCGGCUGAUGUAUUUUACAUCUAGCAGUUUGUGGUUAUGUAUUUUACAUCAUCUAUUGGAGAUGCUAUUAGAAUUCCACUCAGGUUAACAUUGUCUCUCUUGUCCUGCUUCAUCCUCGGCGUCAUACAACUCACGGAGCUGCUCCAAUGAUGAAACCCUCCAUCACAGCAGAGCAGUACCUCGGGCUCCUUCUCUAGACGCCUAAGAUAUUCUUCCCCUCCUCCGACAACCAAGUUAGCCGGAGCGUCCUCACCGGCCAACCCAAUCACGCUGAGAUCGACAUGGCUUCCCCAAAGAGGUUGUACACUUGUUGCAUCUCUUUUUACUCUAUAUGUUAUAUAUAUUGUCCACUGAGCACAUGUAGUAACAUGAAAUACGAUUAUUUUAUCCUACUAUAUGACAAUAAGUGAGGUACCAGGCAAGUUAGCUAUCCAUGAUGGACUCUCUUGAACACCAUUGUUAUUUAUCUCCGCGCGUUUUAGCUAUGCAUUUGUCGAUGGGCCUGGGAGUUGAGCUAGUAGGGCAGUGGCCUGGGUCCAAAGUAAUAGAAGUAGCACAAAAACAUUUUUUAGUGUAGGCUUUUCCUUGCUCAAGCCUGCCUACUAGAAUCUCCAGUGCUUGAAAGGAAAAGUGAAUGAAAAACAUAGGAAUUGGAAAGUUUCCCAUGGUACUACUUUUCAUGAAUUUGGUGCAAAGGAGUGGAGCAAAAGAAAACUGUAGGAUUUGUUCCUUUAGUGUCUCCUUGAAAGAAAAACCGUAGGAAUUUUAGUUUCCACUUGUCCUCCUUUUCAAAUUCCUAUUCAUGAAGCACAAGACUAAGAGAUAGUAUCAUAAUAGCAUUAUAACCGUACAUUUUCUUGUGGUUUGACUUAAUCUCACCAUGCUUCUUUGCAUCCUGUGAUCUUCCAAUUCUUGUGAAUCAAACACCCAGAUUGGCAGAAAUCCUGUGUUUUUAAAUUCUCUAUUUUGCACGUGCAUUCCUAUUCUGUUCCUUUCUAUUUCCUAUCCUUGCAUUGUUAGUAUUCUCAAAUUCAAACAAUCCCUUACACAAUUACUUCUAUUACAGAUAUGUGUAAAAUAAAACCUUGUGUGGUUUGUCCUGCUCCUGCGGCAAUGUGUUCCACCCUAGCUCAACUACUCCAACGAUGGAAGGGUUCACCACAGCAGGGAUCCUCUCUCGAACUUGGCAUGCUGAUGUUGGUAAUAUCAUGCAUAUGGUGCCUUGCAUUGCUUACUGUAUACAUCAAAGAUGUCAUCUGCUUAGUUUAGACAUGCUUUUGUGUCAAUGCCAUCUGUUUAGUUUCUUUAUCAUAUAUGUGAAUCAUGCAAUGCCAUCUUGUUUAGCCAGGCAUCAUAUACGUGAAUUUUGCAAUGCCACCCUGGUUAGCUAGUCAUAUUAUAUGUGAAUUAUAUCAUGCCAUCAUUUUUUAUUACGUGUUAAAUUUUUCAACAAUUUUAGUACAUUCAAUUACUCUUCCUGUGCAUCAGCCAUUCGGCACGGUCAUGGAAAAAUCUAGAGUGGAAACAAGGUCUUUAGAGCAGAAAAUGCUAUCUGAUGAAGCGCAUGUCUUGCUGGUUACAGAUAGCUUCUCAGAGGAGGAUUCAGAGACAGAAGACCAGUCCUAUUUCCUUCCCGAGGUGCACACUCUAACUUGGCAGGGUUAUGUUGCUCAUAUCGUGCGUAUGGUAUCUUGCAUUGCUAUGUCAUUUGCUUAGUUUAGACAUGCUUUGUGUGAAUGCCACCUGUUUAGUGUCUAAUUACCAUAUAUGUGAAUUAUGCAAUGCCAUCUUGUUGCAAGACAUUAUAUAUGUGAAUUAUGCAAUGCUAUCUUGUUGCAAGGCAUUAUAUAUGUGAAUUAUGCAAUGCCAUGCUGUUUAGCCAAGUGUCAUAUAUGUGAAUUAUAUCUGCCGUCCUUUUUUUGUAUUUCUCAUUGCUUUUGUCGACAAUGUUUGUGUAUUAAACUACUCUUCCUGUGCAUCAACCAUUUGAAUUGGUGAUGGAGAAAUCUGGAGUGAAAACAAGGUCUUCAGAGCAGACAAUGCUACCUGCUGAAGCAGAUAUCUCUCUGGUUACAGAUAGCUCUUCAGAGGAGGAUUCAGAGGCAGAUGACCAUUCCUAUUAUCCCCCUGAGGUGUAUGCUCAAACUUGGCAGGGUUAUAUUACUCAUAUCAUGCAUAUAUUGUAUUGCAAUGCUUAGUUUUUACAUCAUAUACACAAUAUUGAAUGGCAUCUCCUUAGUUGACACAUCAUAUAUGCAAUUGCCCUCUGCUCACUUCCUUAGUAUAUAAAUCAUAUAUUUGAAUUAUAUCAUGCCAUGAUGUUUACAUGGACAACAUGUAUCUGAAUUAUGGCAUGCCAACCCAUUUUCUAAAGACAUAAUAUAGUUAUAGCAUCUCAUCCUGUUUACAUAGUCAUCAUAUUUUAAAUUAUGUCAUUCUAUCCGUGAAUUAUAUCAUGCCAUCAUGUUUCCAUCGAUGACAUGUUUGUGAUUUAUGGCAUGCCAACCACUUUAAUAGACACAUCGUAUAGUUAUAUCAUGUCAUCCUAUUUACAUAGUCAUCAUAUUUUGAAGUAUAUCGUUCUAUCCUGUUUAGUUAGCCAUCAUACAUGUGAAAUUGUGUCAUGCUAUCCUGUUUAAUUAGCAAUCAUAUAUGUGAAAUUAUAUCCUGCUAUUAUGUUUGGUUAGAAAACAUAAAUGUGAAUUAUUUCAUGCCCUGUUUUCUUCCCUACUAUCCAUUGCACCUGUCUAUCUUACAAUGUUUGUACAUUCAGUUACUUUUCUUGUUUAUCAGCCAUUUCAAUUGGAGGGGGUGAUGGCAGUAUCUAUGGGAGUAAAAACACGGUCUUCAGAAAAGAUUGUGCUACCUGUUGAUGCAGAUAGAACCAUGGUUGUACUUGCCCAAGAACCAGCCCCACCACACAUAACCCAGACUAACGCAGAUUGUACCCCUACCCAGUUGGACAGAGAACCAGCUACACCCCUUCUAACCCAAACCUCAGCAGAUAGUAACCCAGUUCCCGUUGACACAACACCGUCUCCACCACAGAGCACCCAAACACGAGCAGUUAAUAAGGCAACUGCAGUGCCCAAAGCACGAGGACCACCACUCCAAACCCCAAGUCAACGCUUAAAGCAGAAGAAGAAUUGUUCUCAGGUCAGGUUCCAUAGCUAUGGUUCAUACUACUUUGCUCUUGCAUCACUGUAUUUACUCAUACCAACUAAUUUCAAAUUUGAAGGAUGCAAUUGAAACUCCAAUGACGCAAUAGGUAUGUUUUAAACCUUUUUCUUUAACGUGUUUGCUGUUGUAACUUGCUCCAUGUUGAUUUCAGUUUCAACUGAAUAAACAGUUAUGUUCUCAUGCCAUGCACAUUACAAGUGUUGUUAUUGAUGUGUAGUUUCCCACACUUAUAUUCUCUCUAUGCUGCUUUGUCUUAAAUAGAUAUGAUUCGAACUGUAUCUAUCUUGAUUUGGCAACAUAAACUAGAAUGAUAUAUACCAUAUAGUGACCAUACUACAUAGAUAUAUGUUUGUUUCAUCCUGUUAUCCUGUCCACCUUACUACUGAACUGGUUUACCAAAAUGAGUUUAAUAUACUACAUUGUAAACCUGUGAUGUGUUUGUUUGUUUCUCUUUUAGAACGCGGAUAAAAUAUUGGAGAAGAGUACCCCGUUAUGCAAUGGUAAAGGAAGUAAUGCAAAUAUGGUUCAAGAUAGUGAGACAUCCCUGUUGGUCUCCAAGAAAGCUGAUAAAAACUAUAUCGAAGACACUGAGACAACCCCAAAGUCAUGUCUUGAUGUAGUGUUUGAGUUACUGGCUACUACUGCUGGCACCAGCUCUUCGAACUUGGUGCUUGAAUCAGUUCGGCUUCUUGAGUCUCAACUUCAAGUUGAAAGACAUCGAUCAGAUGUUAUGCGACAGGAAGCCAAAGAACUGAGGAAGUCCUUGCAGAAUUCAGAUGCAUACUUUCUGGUGCAACAGCAGGUGCUGGAGGAUUUAAGCGCCAAACAAGAGAAAGUUAAUGAGCUUGCUAAGCAUCUUGUCAGCAUUAUGGGUACCCAGGAUAUUGUUUCUUGAGCUCUUCUGAAGUGGUUUCAGUUCUGGACUUAUUUUGCUGUGGCGUUUAUAUGCUGCUUUGUUCCCUAUAUUUGCAUUGGUGGCGAACUUUGAUGCCCAGUGGAUGUAAUAUGUGCAAUAGCCGUGAUAGCCUAGUGUAAGUUGCUUGCUUAUUUAUUUUCUUAUUCUUUUGUUUAUUUGUUUGCUUGUAGUCAGUGCAGUUCUUUUUCCGCGGUUUGCUAGUGGCCGAUGUCGGUGUCAAAACCGGCGGAUCUCGGGUAGGGGGUCCCGAUCUGUGCGUCUUAGGCUGAUGGUAAUAGGAAGCAAGGGACACAAUGUUUACCCAGGUUUGGGCCCUCUCGAUGGAGGUAAAACCCUACUUCCUGCUUGAUUAAUAUUGAAGAUAUGUGGAAUACAAGAGUAGAUCUACCACGAGAUCGUAGAGGCUAAACCCUAAGAGCUACCCUAUGAUGGUAUGAUUGUAAUUGUGAUCGGCCUUCUAAGGACCAUGCUCUCCGGUUUAUAUAGACACCAGAGAGCUAGGGUUUACAUGGAGUCGGUUACAAGGAAGGAAACAUAAUAUCAGGAUUGCCAAGCUUGUCUUCCACGCAAAGGAGAGUCCCAUCCGGACACGAGCCGAAGUCUUGAGUCUUGAUGCUUCUAUAGUCCGGACGAUGUACAUAGUCCGGUUGUCCAGAUACCCCCUUAUCCAGGACUCCCUCAGUAGCCCCUGAACCAGGCUUCAAUGACGAUGAGUCCGGCGCGUAGUCUUGUCUUCGGCAUUGCAAGGCGGGUUCCUCCUCCGAAUACUCCAAGGUUAUUAUCGAACACGUAGGCCGCAUCGAGAUCUGCAAAAUGAUCUUCACAUACCACCGUAGAGAAAAUGAUACUUCAGCUGACAACUUUCUAGACAACGGGAUAUGUCGUUACGGUCAGGUUAUUAUCCGAACCGUUUUUCCCACAACCAGGCACAACGUAUACUGCGAGGCGGUUUCCUGAGCACGUCUUGUCGAAGCGAAGAUCGUGUCCCCUUAUCACGGGAUUCUCAUCAAUACGGGUAUGGGUAAUCCAACCGUACCGCUAAUCGCAGCGAGCAGGAGGCAAGCGGGUUUCCACCAGGCAAGUGGGGAGGCGCAAAAAGCUCUUACCUUCUCUUAUAAAGAGACAGGGCAUCUUCCUCUUUUACCCACGCCUUCUCCUUCCGCUAACUCACUUCCCUCUGCUCGAGCCCUAACGCCCGAGCGCCUUUCUUUUCCAUCGAAGAGAGGGUUUCCAAAGAUGUCCAGAUCUAGAGCAGGAGGCAAAUGGAUGGCCUCUAUCGUCCGGGAGAAGGAUAUCAAGAAGCUCCGGGAAGCCGGGUAUCUGGCCAAGGAGAUUGGCCACCGUUUCCCACCGGCGGGACAGGUUGUCCCUACUCCGGAGCCCCACGAGAGAGUCGUGUUCCUUCCCCAUUUUGUCCGCGGGCUCGGGUUUCCCCUCCACCCAUUUGUACGUGGAGUCAUGUAUUACUAUGGGGUUCAUUUUCAUGAUCUUUCCCCCAACUCUUUUCUCAAUAUCUCGACGUUCAUCGUCGCAUGCGAGGCCUUCCUACGGAUUCCGCCUCACUUUGGCCCGUGGUUGAAGAUUUUCAAUGUGAAGCCCAAGGUGGUGAGUGGCGAACACGCCGAGUGCGGCGGCGCCAUGGUGAGCAAGAUGCCCAAGGUCGUUUGGCCGAAGGGCACCUUUAACGACUCCGUCAAGGAAUGGCAGUAGCAGUGGUUUUAUAUCACCGAACCACGCGGUGAAGAAUGGAUAGCAGCUCCUGAGUUCAGAUCCGGAGCUCCGCUGCGGCUUACGUCCUGGCCCAAGAAGGUCCCAAACUGGUGCUCGUCCGAUGAGCUGUCACUGCUCCUGACGUGUGUUUGGAAUAUGGUCGACAAGGACGUCAAGCUUGUUGACGUGGUCCAGGUGAUGCUAGUUCGCCUGGUUCUCCCUUGCCAGCGUCGAGCCUGUACUUUAUGGGAAUUUGACCCAUCCGAGCACCAAACCCUCCGGGAGCUCCAUGAUUCCUCCCACGAGGAUAUCUGGAAGGUGCUCUUUAAGUCCAGCAAAUCAUGGUCGGACUCUUCUGAGGACCGGGGGUAUCAAUUAUCCCAUUCUGCAAGCCCGGUAAGUUAUAGCCACGCCUCGUCCGUCUAGGCUUCAGCCGGCAUAUCAUGAGGGGGGCGUUUUAAUCAUGCUUCAUUGUGGCUUUAGGGAUGGGUAGAAAGGGUGGAGCGGAUACAAUGUCCGGCCCCACUGCCGGAGGAACCGGCCGGACCUCUUCUGACGAAGAUGCUGGUCCCUGCAGCUUACAAGGUGCCCAAGAAGGAGGCCCCCAAGCAGGUCAAGAAGACCCGGAGUGGCCUCCGUUGUCACGAGGCUCCGGACACCCGGUCCGAAAGCUCUAGCGACACUCCUUCUUCCGAAGACGAAGAGGAGGAGGCGGAGGAGGACGAGCCUCGCUCUGCCGGCGGGAAGAAGCGUGCAACUUCCCCGUCCCUGGAGGCCGAGUCACCCAAGAGAAGGCGAGGUUCCCCUCCAGAAGCACCCACCUCGGCUGCCGAUAACAGCCCGGAGUGGGAUCCCGAGGCCCAGCCCCUGGGAAAAUCGUAAGUAACCAAAAUCCGAAUACGCCUAUGUAUCCAGGGUUGUCCGAGUAUUGUAGUUUUAACUGUCGCCAUAUCUCACACAGCCCGGCAAGGUCUCCUGUCGGACAAUCCUCAUCGGAGGAUUCGUUGAGCUCGAAUGCUGUGGCGAGCGAGACGCCUCCGGGAAUUCCUUUUCCGAAGUCCGGGCGCGACACCGAGGUGUCGUCUCAAAGAGACUCGGGGCCAGAUAAAGUUCUGGAGGCCCCUAAGGUUCCAGGAUCGGGCCAACGGCCAUCCUCCAUGGAGGGAGGUUUGCCUACUCCGCCGGCCACCUCAGUAUACACCGAGCUGUCGGGCAGUCUGUUGACAGUGUUAAAGAACGUGUCCGUCGUUGAUGAACAUUGGACCCUUAUGGGUGCGGUGGUUGGAAAGAUUCAGGCUGCCGAAAGCGGGCUGAAUGAGUCCUGUCUUGGCCUUAUAAAGGCCUUUGAGGUAUGGUUUCUAAGGAACCUUUAAAGAAUUAGUAUGAUAUGAGGAGUAGCCCUGAUACACUGUCCGGAAAAAAGAAAGCCGGGCAGGGAUCAAAUUCUCAGUUGUAAUGGGAAAUUUUAAUGCUGUAUACCCAUGUUUUUUAAAACAGGCGUCUGUGGAGAGGACGGCCGCUCGUGAUGCGGAAGAAUCCGAGCUGAAAGAGAGCCUGAGACGGGUCGAAGGAGAACUUGGCCAUGUGAAGAAGCAAUUGGAGGAGAGGCAAGGUAUGUUUGGACAUUGUCUUGCGUUGGGCACAAAUCAAUAAGUGUGCCUAUUUGAAAAGUAUUUAUGUUAUGCGCCCUAGGAGCGAGUGCCGAAUAUGAGGCGCUGAAGAAAGCGGCGGCUGAUGCCCAAGAGAAGGCUGCCGCCGUACAGGCUCUGCGUGAAAAACACGAGGCCAGGGUCGUCAUAGCUGAGCAGGAGCUUCAGGAUGCUGUGAUGAAAAGCGAGAGCUUGGAGCAGAGUUUAGUAGGGAAAGAAUCCGAACUCGCCCAAGCUCUCCAAGCCACGGAAGAUGCUCGGGAAGAAGCCCGAGGUGUUGUACGGGACAUUCAGGAGGCCCGGAAAGUUGUGGCUGGUAAGGCCUAUUGUAUCUAUGGUCGUUAUGAUGUUAUAAUAUGGAGAACUCUAAGCGGCAAGCUGAAUUCUUGAUUUUGCAGGUGCGUUGCGGAUCUGCCUCGUAGCAUAUUAGAUGCGGCCCAGUUUUACCAGUCCGAGGAGAGCGAGUCUGCAGGGAGGAACUUCUGGUCGCAGUAUCUAGCGCUGAACUAUCCGGUGCCUUUUAUCGAUCAGCUGAAGCAGCUGGUCAAACUGCACCAGGCGGCCUAACUAGCCAUGAAGGACUUGGUCAUCCGGCUGUGGCCUGCCGAGCCAAUUCCCAGAAAUUUCUUUGGACUCGUCAAGCGGAUUGUGGGCGCCUGUCCUCGGCUUGAUAUUAUCAAGCGAUCAGUCUGCAUAGAAGGUGUGCGAAUGGCGCUUGCCCAUGCAAAAGUGCAUUGGGGGAAGCUUGACGCAUAAAAGCUGAUAACUGAGGGGCCACCAGAGGGUAAGGAGCAUCGCAAGCCCAAACUGUAUUAUGAAGGUGUAAUGAAGGGUGCCCGCUUGGCGGCGGACAAGUGCACCAAAGACAUUAUAUUUCCCUGAGGGCAUUUUUGCCAUCGUUUGUAAUAUGGGAUAAUGGCACUUUUAUUAUAUGUUGUCUAUUUGGUUUGAACAUGUGUUCUUCCUUUGCUGUUGUUUAUUGUAUAUAAAUUCUGAGAGUUGGCCAGUCGUCGGCUUCAGCCCCCACGAGAGAAGUACGGGGGUGUUCGGGGUAUUUACGAACACUCUUUAUCCCAUUGUUGGGUCCUUAUAAGGAGGCAUUUCUCACCACGAACCAGGCAAUCGGACUAUAGAGCUUUACUACUCUCAGUUAGCCAUAUGAAUACAAGUAUGGUCAGCGCAACCCCUAGUGUCCGGAAGACCGGACUAGGGGCUCUAUUGGUGCCUGAUCGGUAGACCGAUCCGUCACAAUCUGCAUUUUAUAGUGGCGUUAUGCGGAAUGAAUCUUUAAGGAUUUUGCAACCUCUCGAACAGCUGACUAGCUCUCGCCGCAUCAUGACAGUCGGUUUUCGGCUUUCUCUACUGAGGUGCUCGUCUGGCAGAUCCGGGACACAAUCGCAGUAGUUCUCCCAGUGCUACCUUAGCCGACGGAAUGGAACGUGAGGUACCAAAACAUGGGAGCCGGGCAAACCCAACCAAUGACCCAAGACAUGAUUCAGCGCUGAUGCAUAUAGUGCUAUAAGUUCGGGGUGCCGAGCGACCGAGAAGGUGGUCGGACUUUAUUGUCGUACUGUGGAGCCCCUGGCAUAACCGGGCGUAACACGAACCGUGGCUGCCACUUUUAUGGCAAAGAGGCGUCGAUGAUAAACGACGACCGAUGCAUGUUUAGUUAAGUCUACACAUUGCAGUAAUAUGAUAUGUCCAUGCAUAUGAAUGCGAUUUAUGAUUAUGAAAAAGAGAUGGUUUUCUGGCGGAACCUAGGGUGGCCGGACUAGAGGGGGUUGUGAAUGGAUCAAAAGUGAAUCCAAACUGCCGUCUACCUGCAUGGUCCUGUCCUUGUGUAUCCGGGCCGACUUCACGCCGCCAAACCUGUUCUGCAUAAGAGUUAGUUUGUGAAGGUAAGUGAGUGGAGGGUGUCGAACAUCCUCCUGUGGUUGGUCCAAAGGUUCCUGAUCGGACCCUGGUGACCCCAGCCGCUAUUCGAGAAGCAGUCCGGACUCCUUAGUUGGUGUCCGGAUAGUUGGCUGUCAUAUCAAAAUAUUGACAGGCAUGCGCGACUUGCUACUCUUGCAGCUAUAUGAUCCCCGCUUCUGAGGGCGGGAUUUGGCUCUGCACACAGGCGUGAGUGUAUUACCGGUGCUGGCCUCAUGAUUUACCACGUGGAAUCUAGCCAACGUGGUUCAUCUUGUUAGCAAACGGUGUGAUACCGUAUAGGGGGACUGCGCCGAUGGCGAGGCCUUAUUUGGUUAUCUGAAAACAACCAUUAGGGCGGCGGGCCAAUGAUCCUGGCCUUUGUGCCUGGCACCUUGUAGAAGGUGUUUAUUUGUACGCCCGCUUGGGCGGCCUUUUAUUGUUUGAGGAGCCCCUGGACUGUUAGGUCUGGUGGUAUGCAAUUGAAUUGUUGUGGUUUGUAUGGUAGGGGGCGAUCGGCCGUACUGUUGUGCUGGGGGGAGGGGCUUUUGACUAAGCGCCUCCCCUCAAUGUUUCCGGCACACGCCCGGUUGCUUUACUUUGGAGAUCCGGCAUUCUCUAUUAGUAUGUUUUGCCGUUCUUUUGGGAGUAUCGUGAAUUUCGCACGGCUGAUCGAGUUUGUGGCUUGGGCCGAAAAGGCUUGAGCUGUUCCUUGUCCGUUGACCGGACUGGGAUUUGCUGAACUUAAUACCAGCUUCCCUGAUUUGCCGUUUAUGACCAUUGCACCAGGGCUUGAGGCUGCUUCUUCGUGUAUCCUUCUUGCUGGUUUGGACCAUAGUGGUGUGCGGACGUCGGGUUGUGUGCCUUUGAUUUUCCUGCUUAGGUUGAGGUAGCCAGUUGUGCCGCGUGUGCCCUUUGUUAGGGCGGUCGAGUCCGUGCUUCUCGGUGGCCAGGAUCUUGGUCCACUGUUCUAUUAGCAAAUCCUUUUCGGCCUUAAGAUGCUCUUGCUUCCUUGGCAGACUCUUUGCAGUGGCUAUGAGUCAUCACCUAAAGGGAACUUGUUCCACUGGGUCUUCAGGCACGCCGAAUUCGUCAUUGUCGAGGCUUACCUCGUCUUCGGAGGGGGGGGUGUAUAGUUGUUCCUCUCCAAGUAUGCCACCGUGGACUGUAUGGCCUGCUUGAUUGUCGGCUGAUCAGGACUGUAUUCCUCUUCAAUACUAUCCGGAUCAUCUCCGGGACCGGUAUUGAUGUGGCGGGGCUUGGAGUGACGUCAGAGACGCCCAUGUUUUGCUUUUCCUCCCGAGGGGUUGUCCUCCACUGCCUCAUUGCCGUUGGUUUCUUUCGGAGUGUCCACCAUGUAUAUAUCGUUUGAAGAGGUGGUUGUCCACCGCCCUGCGAGCGGUGGCUCCUGUACGUCUCCUGCAUCGUCGUCCAUACCAUCGAUGUCUUUGAAGUUAAAGUCGAGCACGUCGGUAAAAUCAUCGAUCGUGGCGACAAAGUGGGUGGUGGGUGGGGAACGAAUUCAUUCGUCGCCUGCUUCCCACUCCAGCCGGACAUAGUUCGGCCCAAAGUAUCCUGACAAAGAGAGAGACUUCAAUGAGUUCAGCAUGUCGCCAAAGGGUGAGUGCUAAAAGAUGUCCGCAGUGGUAAACUCCAUUACCGGAGCCCAACCUAGCUCGGCUGGCUCAAGAGUGAGCGGACCAGGACCAAUAGCCGGAUAUGAGUCCGGGGGUCUGGGAUUACAGGCCUCCACAGCGGUGGGACCCGUGUUCGGCUCUACCGCCGAUAAGUGUGCGGCCUGCGGAGCAGGGUCCAGCCCUCCGUCCAUAGGAAACGCAACCUGUCCUAGAUUUAGAUCCAAGGCUGCUUCGGGAUGAUGUCCCGGGCACUAUCCCACAACAGGUCUAGGCCGUGCUUGUCGUGGCUGUCCGGCGCUCCUGGCGUAGGCUCGAAUCUGUUGAAGAUCAAGCCUCCACGGAUAUCCGCCGUGUAGUUCAAGUUUCCGAACCUAAUCUAGUGUCCAGGGGCGAAGCUGUCGAUCUGCUCCAACUGGCCAAGCGAAUUGGCCCACAGUGCGAAGCCACCCAACACAAAGAUCUGUCCGGGAGAAAAGUCUCACCCUGGACCGUGUUGUUGACGAUUGAAGACGCCAUCAAGCCUCGAAGCGACGACACAGAGGAACUCUCAAUGAAAGCACCAAUGUCGGUGUCAAAACCGGCGGAUCUAGGGUAGGGGGUCCCGAUCUGUGCGUCUUAGGCUGAUGGUAACAGGAAGCAAGGGACACAAUGUUUACCCAGGUUCGGGCCCUCUCGAUGGAGGUAAAACCCUACUUCCUGCUUGAUUAAUAUUGAAGAUAUGUGGAAUACAAGAGUAGAUCUACCACGAGAUCGUAGAGGCUAAACCCUAAGAGCUAGCCUAUGAUGGUAUCAUUGUAAUUGUGAUCGGCCUUCUAAGGACCAUGCUCCCCAGUUUAUAUAGACACCGGAGAGCUAGGGUUUACAUGGAGUCGGUUACAAGGAAGGAAACAUAAUAUCAGGAUUGCCAAGCUUGUCUUCCACGCAAAGGAGAGUCCCAUCCAGACACGAGCCGAAGUCUUGAGUCUUGAUGCUUCUAUAGUCCGGACGAUGUACAUAGUCCGGCUAUCCAGAUACCCCCUUAUUCAGGACUCCCUCAGCCGCAAUAACUUAUUUUUUAAAACUAGGCCACAAUAACCAUGGGCUACAUAUUUACUGUAGUUACCAUGGCCCUCCUAUGGGCCGUAGAAACAAUGGACCUUCUAAGGGCCGUAGAAACAAUGGGCCUUCUACGGGGUGUAGAAACAAUGGGCCUUAUACGGGUCGUAGACACAAUGGGCCUUCUACGGGGCGUAUCAUCAAUGGGCCUUCUACGGGUCGUAUGAUCGGUUGGCCAAACAUGGGCCAAUAACAGACCGCUUUAUGGCUGUAAACGGGCUAGAGUUGGAAUUGUCCGUUCAUGGGCCGACCAUAACGGGCCAUCGUUAAUCAACCGUAUUUGAUGAUGCUAUGAAAACGGCCCAACGUAUUAACAGGCCACAAACAGGCUGAAUGUAACCAUGGGCUGAAUUUGGCCCACAAGCAAAAAAUGACAGUAAUGGGCCAUAAGUAAAUGAAUGCCGGAAAUGAGCCCAAGAAUAAAUGGGCCCUGAGAAGGCCGAAAGAUAACAUGGGCUGGAAACGGCAAAACGGAAUAACGGGCCGUUAAUGGGUAUAAAGUGAUACACUGUUCAUUACGGGCCAGUUUCACCAUAGGCCGUUAAUGGGUAUAAAGUGAUACACUGUUCAUUACGGGCCAGUUUCACCAUGGGACUUUAAUGGGCCAAGAGUUACAAAGGGCCUCGCAUGGGCCGAAAGACGUCAUGGGCCAUACAUGGGCCGGAAGUUAAAACGGUCUGGAAUUAUAUUGGACGGCCCAGAUGACGCUACUGGGCCUAAUUCGGAUAGGUUGUAACGGGCCCUGGGUUAGCGGAUUGUAAAUGGGCUAUAUGCAAACAUGCCAUCAACAGGCUUUCCGUGGGCCGGCCCACCACCUUUUGACCAAGUCAAACAGGCCGACCUUUUUACAAGAAUGGGCCUCUGUUGGGCCGUGCCACGUGUCAACGUAUCAUAGGCGCCUUCGGUCCAAUGAGUGGAUGACAUCUGUCCCAACGGUGAGCCGACACGUGUUUCCUCUAGCCAAUGAUGAUUUUACACGUGCAAAAUCCCCAUUGGUCGGGGCUGUUAACGGGUUAUCGGAUCCAAAACCGGACCCGAUAGCUUAACGGCGUUCCGUUACGGUGGAUGCCACGUGUCGGUCACCCUUGACGAAAGCACUUCUGUGACGCGCGAUUUAUCGUCAUGGAAGUGGACACUUCCGUGAUGAUAAUUUUGGUAAUGUCAUGGAACACUUCUAUGACAGCACAUGUAUGACUAUCUUGAUUUUGUCAUAAAAUCGUCAUGGAUGUACAUGCAUGACAGAAAACGUGACCUACUAUGACAAACACGUAUCAUCACAGAACUGUAUUUUUUUGUAGUGCAAAUACAUGUCAUGUUCCUUUCUGUCACUGGGAUUGAGCGCCGCCAGAUCGAACCCAUCACAAAGCACAUUUCCCAUUGCAAGAUAAAUAAAUCUAGUUGGCCAAACCAAAUAGAUAGAUCGAAGAGAAAUACAAAGGUAUAUUAAUCAUGCAUAAAAGAGUUCAGAGAAGGCUCAAAUAAUAUUCAUGGAUGAUCUUCAUAAACUCAUAAUUCAUUGGAUCCCAAUAAACACACCGCAAAAAGUACUACAUCGAAUAGAACUCCAAGAACAUCGAGGAGAACAUUGUAUUGAAGAUCAAAUAGAGUGAAGAAGCCAUCUAGCUACUAACUAUGGCCCCAUAGGUCUCUGGUAAACUACUCAUGCAUCAUCGGAAGGAAAGCAAGGUUGAUGUAGACUCCCUACAUGGUACAUGGUUGAUUCCCCCUCCGACAGAGUGCCGGAAAAGGCCUCUAGGCAGGAUCUCUCGAGAAUAGGAACUUGUCGCGGUGGGAAAGGGGUUUCGGGUGGCUCUCUGUUUGUUUCCAGAUUUUAGCGAAUUUAUAGAGGCAGAAGUAGGUCAAACGAGUGAACAUGGGCCCCACAAGCCACCAAGGCGCGCCUACCCCCCGGUGGGUGCGCCCUGGUGCGUUGUGGGCUACUCCUUCAUAUUUUGGCCCUCUCCCGAAGUUUCUAGGGUCUCUUAUUUCCAGAAAAAAUCUCAAAAAAGUUUCAUGGCAAUUGGAUUUCGUUUGGUACUAAUAUUCCGGAAAACCAAAAAUAGGCAAAAAACAGCAACUCGCACUUGGCACUAAGUUAAUAGGUUAGUCCCAAAAAUGAUAUAUAAUUGCGUAUAAAACAUCCAAGAUUGAUACUAUAAUAGCAUGGAAGAAUAAGAAAUUAUAGAUGCAUUGGAGAUGUAUCAGUUGCGCUUGUUGUAAAUAUGCCCUAAAGGCAAUAAUUUUUGUAUUUUAUAUUUCCAUAUUCAUAAUUAUAGAGUUUAUAUUCUAUGUUAUAUCUGCUAUGAUCCUAGAAUAUGCAAUUCAAUGGAAAACUCAUAUGCACGUGUGGAAUAAUAAGCGGUUCCUAGUCUUGCCUCUGGGACUGACUCAAGUGUUGUUGGUGCUCAUGUUUUCCGGAUCUUAGGAUAUCAUUAAGUGUAGCAGUGAUCCUAAAACAACAUUGAGAUUAUGACGUUGGAAGAACGAUCAUAUUGAAUUGACCCAAUCUUGUUUAUUAUGAAUUGAGUUAAUAUCGUUUGCAAUUAAUUGUAAUAACACGGAAAGUUACCAUGUGACUUUGGUCCUUAGGUGACGAGAGUAUCAUAGUCACUCUUAUAGUACGGUGGGCUUUGGGGUUGCCCAAAUGUCACAUGUAACAUGAUGAUCAGAACAAAAACUUGCAGGUUCAUUGGAAAGUUUAACAAGGGACUAGAUAGCUCAAGAUUGGGAUUUUGCUCCUCCGACGAUGGAGAAAUAUCUUAGGGACCUCUUGGUGUGAUGGAAUCAAUCAUCCAUUGGCCAGACACAUGUGACUUCAUCACAGGGAUGCCGGAACACAAUAAUAAGAAAGAAGAACAAAACGGUAACGAGGAUUUCGGUAUAGUGAGCAUGUUGAUGAUUAGGAGGAUACCGAUGCAUCCCGGGUUUUGUAAAGUAUCGCAAAGCAAAGGGAGCAUCACAUGAUAACCAAAGGUUCACUUGAAUAUCAUUCGUGUGCUCAUAGGCAUCGAUAUGGACGUCCACGGUCCCGCUAUCGGUCAUUGAAAGAACAGUUUCAUUCAUGUCUAUGAGUUACCGAACCUAUGGGGUCACAAGCUUAAGGCAAUCAUAAUCUAUUGAGUGUUAGUAGGAUGGGAGUCAUGAGAAUAUAUUUGUGGAAUUAUGUCAUGAAUAUUCGGAAUUUUUCUGAGAGGAUUCGGAAGCGUUUCGGGGUCACCCGAAGGGUUUCGGUGAAUAUCGGGUAAUGCCGGGUGUUACCAAUAAUUAUAUAUAGGUGAAAAAUAUUUCCAGAGAUGUUAAAAAAUAUAUAAUUGUCUAAAAGUAUUUAUAACAUUUUAUAUUUAAUUGAAAUAUGAACGGGCCUAAAAAGGCCAAGAGGUGGAAGGCAACUUGGGCCACAAAAGCCCAAGUUGAUCUACCGAGGACCAAACAAUCACACGAGGCACCAUCUUCAAUCAACCCAUGCCAUAGUCUCGUUGAAGCCACACAAGCUCUCGGGCUUGUGUCGCGUGUUUCCAUGCCCAGAAGUCGGUCACCAUCAGCACCACACUCCUAUAUCGUCAUUGUCGAUCCCACCACUGUCUUUUGUCCAAUCGACCCCAUGCCGAUCUGCCAGAAUAUAUAGUCCGACCUAGCCGAAAUUGGCCAACUGCAACCAUGUUUCACCCUGCAUCGUGUCAACCAACACAUACCAUGCAUUACUUGACUCCCUGUUAAAUGCAUUACCGCUCAGAGGUUUAAAUAUCAACGGGCCUAAAAAGGCCAAGAGGCGGAAGGCAACUUGGGCCACUAAGGCUCAUGUAGAGGUGGUGCCCCUUCUUUCCUUAUGGGGUGGGGGGAUCCUACUAGGGGAGGGAGUACCCCUAAAAAACUAGGGGAGGGAGUCCAAAUCCUCCCCUAGGCCGGCGCACCAAGGGGGGCUCCUUCCCCCUUGGUGGUUACCCUCUCCCUCCCAUCCAACCUAUAUAUACUAGGGGAUUUUGUCCUUUGAGAUAACACAAGUUUUGGAGCCUCCUCUAGUUCUUGUAGUUCUAGUUCUAGUUCUAGUUGGUCCUAGUUGACUAAUUAGAGCCUAGCUAAUCCUCUUGUCCUUAUAAUUAGAAGCCCCGUGUGGUUCUGACUGCCUUCCUUUAAUUCUCCGAUGACGAUUAGCUCUAGAUGGUAAAGUGCUAUCGGAUCAUGAAGGCUACAUGCUUGCAACCAAGUAGAGAGGCCAUGCUUUUGGGCUUCGAUUUGAGGGACUCUUCGUGUGCGGUUAAUUGGAUCAUUCAUCGACAGUUCGAGGGACUCCAAGUAUGAUCUACACCGACAAGUUAUUCUUCUGUUGCAACUCGGUGACGGUAACGAUCGUGAUCCCGAACUGUUAUGCAUCUUCAUAUUGAUCUUGGGUGAUCGUAGGCGCGAUUUUUUGUUUUAUUUUCUACUAAGUUUCCCAAUAGCACUAUCUUGGCGAGGACUCCGGGCAUGUCCGCGGGCCUCCAUGCUAAAAUAUUCAAGUUAACCUGGAGGAACUUGAGGCGCUCAACCUCUUGUUCCUUGAAGUGGUCCCCUCCCAUCGUUAUCGUCUUCUUUGGGUCAUUUGAGUGUACUUGGAAUUUCUUCAUGCACUUUGUCGAUUGGAACAUCGGAGCCGACCAGGGCUUGGACGAAAGAGUUGCCGUGUUAGUGUCGAUGGACUUCUUGAUUUGCUCAAGCACUGCGGAGGCCAGAGCCACCUUGGCGAGCUCUACGUUUGUGACCUCAGCCUCGAGCGCCUUCUCGGGGCUGCCGUGGGACAUGAUCAUGCCGUUGGGGCCUAACAUGUUAAGUCGAAGGUAUGCAUAUGAUGGUAGCAUUAUAAAUCAGGUGUAUGCCGUCCUGCCGAGGAUCGCAUUUAGCCAUUGUGGAACAGAGUGACCUCGAACUGGAUUGUUUCCGAUUUGAAAUUUUCCACACCGCCGAAGAUGACUUCGAGCUCCAACUGCCCAACAUGGCAUAUUACCUGCCUAGUACGAAGAUGUGGAAUCUGGUGAGUGAAGACUGGAGGCUAGAUCAAAAGAUCCCCAUCUUAGACAGAGUGUUGGGGAAGAUGAUGUUGAGGCCACUGCCACCGUCCAUCGAGACUCGCGAGAGGCGGAAGCCCUGACUAUCAGAUCCACCACCAAGGAGUACUUGUCGGGGUGGGGGAUGUGGACCAGAUAGUCUUUUCUAUUGAAGGUGAUCAUGGCGUCGGACCACCCCAGGAGCUCGGUUGGGGUUGGUUCCGUCGCGUAGACUAUGCACCGCAUGAGCUUUUGGGCCGAAUGUUUUCCGCCACUAGAAAUAUCAUGUUGAUGGUGGAUGAUUGGGAGGGCUGAAGGGUCGAUGAAGAUCCAUCUUUUUCACGGCCAGCGGCGGCUUGUGCAUACCUCCUUGCCACCCGAGUUGGGUUGGUGUGGAUCAUCGUGGUGUUGCCAUGCUCGUCGAACAGAAACUCGAUCUUCUCAAAGUGCAUGUAGUAGAUGAAGGGAGGUGGCUUCACAUCAUAGAGCAGCCCCUGGUCAUCGACAUGAGCUUGAAGGAGGCAAAGGUGAAGGUCUAGCCCAGUGUGAAGUUCAUGGGCAUAGAUAUAUCUCUGAUAUGUGUUUGUUCUUUUUCCUGGGUAGCCCAUGCCUAGUGCGCCAAACUGACAGAGCAGAAAGUUGUCAGUACCCUUGGUAGGGUGCCUAGCGCGACCGGAAGUACCAGAGUGGAGCCCACACACACAAUUUACCCAGGUUCAGGCCUCCGGUGAGGAGUACUUCCCUACAUCCUACUUGCUAUUAUUAUUAAUGGUGGGUAUACCUCGUGCGAGGGAUUACAAUAAAGUAGAGGUGGCUACCGAGAGUUUAAUCUAUGAGAAUAGAUGGAUUAGAGCCCCCUAGCCUUCCCCUUAUAUACACAGUGGGAUAUGGUGUUUUACAAAGAGGAAGCUGCGAUCUAGCCCACCGCCAUCUUAUACUUGGGGGGCAAAGAUGGUCUUGGAGACACAUGCGGGUCGCCUGCGGUCCCCUUUUGUCUUUGCCUUAUUAGUGGGCCUUGUAGGCCCUUUGUCAGGUCGGUCGUUGGGCUCCCUUCAGAGAGGCCACUCUCGGUGCAUGGCACCAUCAGUGGCCUUAGACCCUCCCCAAGUGGUAGACCUCCAUUUUCAUCCUUGGUUCUGGGUGUCGGGCAAAACAACUCUUAGAGGUGACCACAAGAAAAGCAUAAGUGGUGUAUAUUUUCAUAUUGUAUGUCACAAGGAUAUAUAGUCACUCUCAUGACAGAACCAGUGAGUAUCCAUCAUCUCAACAGUUUGGACACAUGAAGAUUAAUGUUGGCUAGCUCUCAAAAAACCUCUGUUACUUGUGAGCUGCGUUGGGAUUUUCCAGGAAGAGGAAGGGUGAAGCAAUAUAGUAGCUGAUAAGUAUUUCCCUUAGUGAGAACCAAGGUUAUCGAACUAAUAGGAGAACCACACAAAUCCUAGCAAACAACAACUGCACAAACAAGAGCAAAUACUUGCACCCAACGCAGGAAAGAGGGUCGUUAAUCCCCUUGAACUCGUUACUUGCAAGGAUUAAAUCUGGAAGUGGUAGAUAGAGAAAAAUGAAAUUAAUAAAUUUCAAAAAAAUAUUUUUGGUUUUAGUAAUAUGAUUAAAGUAGAUUCGGGGGCCAUAGUUUUCACUAGAGGCUUCUCUCUCGAAACAAUAUCAUACAGUGGGUAGAAAAAUUACUGUUGGAUAAUUGAUAGAAAAGCGCAUAGUUAUGACGUUAUUCAUGGCAAUGAACUUGUAUAUAGGCAUCAUGUACGUGACAACUAAACCAACUCCUCCCUGCAUCUAUUACUAUUACUCCACCAAUUGAUCAACUCCUAACUGCAUCUAUGGUAUUAAGUUCAUCACAAACAGAUUUAAGCAAGGUGACAUGGUGUAGAUAGAAUAAAACAAAGAAAUGUGAUUAAACCCUAUCAUUUUACCCUUAAUGGCAACAAUAAAAAAUACUUGCCUCACUACCUGGGUGAGGACACGGCAAGAUUGAACCCAUUAUAAAGCACCCUCCCACUGAAGAUAAAUCAAUCUAGUUGGCCAAACCAAAUGGAUAGAUAGGAGAGAAAUAUAAAGCUAUAACAAUCAUGCAUAAUAAAGUUCAUAAAAGACUCAAUUACUUUCAAUGAAUAAUAUAAUCAUAAACCCACAAUUCAUGGAUCCCAACAGACACACCGCAAAACAAGAUUACAUCGGAUAGAAGUCCAUGGAGAUCAUGGAGAACAUUGUAUUGAAGAUCAAAGAGAGAGAAGAAGCCAUCUAGAUACUAGCUAUGCACUCAUAGGUUUGUGGUGAACUACUCACACAUCAUCAGAAGGGCAACCAGCUUGAUGUAGAAGCCUCCGUGAUUGGUUCCUGAUGUCUACUAUGCAACCUUCUUCUUGUAGACUCGUGUUGGGCCUCCAAGCGCAGAGUUUUGUAGGACAGUAGCAAAUUUCCCUCAAGUGGAUGACCUAAGGUUUAUCAAUCCGUGGGAGGUGUAGGAUGAAGAUGGUCUCUCUCAAACAACCCUGCAACCAAAUAACAAAGAGUCUUUUGUGUCCCCAACGCACCCAAUACAAUGGUAAAUUGUAUAGGUGCACUAGUUCGGCGAAGAGAUGGUGAUGCAAGUGUAAUAUGGAUGGUAGAUAUAGGUUUUUGUAAUAGGAAAAAUAUAGAAACAACAAGGUAACUAGUAACAAAAGUGAGCAAAAACGGUAUUGCAAUGCUUGGAAACAAGGCCUAUGGUUCAUACUUUCACUAGUGCAAAUUCUCUCAACAAUGAUAAUAUAAUUAGAUCAUAUAACAAUCCCUCAACAUGCGACAAACGUCACUCCAAAGUUCCUAUCACGGAGAACAUAAGAUGAAAUUGCUUGUAGGAUAUGAAACCACCUCAAAGUUAUUCUUUCCGAUCAAUCCAUUGAGUUAUUCCUAUAAGUGUCACAAACAGACCUAGAGUUUGUAGUAAAAUAAUACCAUAUGACACACAUCAAUCAACCCUAAUGUCACCUAGACACUCCAAUGUCACCCCAAGUAUCCGUGGGUCAAUUAUACGAUGUGCAUCAAACAACUUUGGAUUCAUAAUAUUCAAUCCAACACAAAGAACUUCAAAUAGUGUCCCAAGAUUUCUACCGGAGAAACAAGGACGAAAACAUGCACCAACCCCUAUGCAUAGAUUACCCCAAUGUCACCUCUGAAAUCCGCGAGUUGAGUGCCAAACAUACAUCAAGUGAAUCAAUAGAACACCCCAUUGUCACCACGGGUAUCCCACGCAAGACAUACAUCAAGUGUUCUCAAAUCCAUAAUAGUAUUCAAUCCGAUAAUAGUGAAACCUCAAAGGUAAAACUCAAUACAUCACAAGAAGGUAGAGGGGGAGAAACACCAUAUGAUCUGACUACAGUAACAAAGCACGCGGUACAUCAAGAUCGUGCCAAAUCAAGAACACGAGAGAGAGAGAAAGAGAGAGAGAGAGAGAGAGAGAGAGAGAGAGAGAUCAAACACAUAGCUACUCGUACAUACCCUCAGCCCCGAGGGUGAACUACUCCCUCCUCAUCAUGGAGACCGCCGAGAUGAUGAAGAUGGCCACCGCAGAUGGAACCCCCUCCGACAGGGUGCCGGAAUAGGGCCCUGAUUGGUUUUUUGUGGCUACAAAGGCUUGCAGCAGCGGAACUCCUGAUCUGGGUGUCUUCCUAGAGGUUUCAUGGUUUAUAGGAAUUUUUGGCAUCGGGGACAACUCAGGGGGGGUCCACGAGUCAGCGACAAGGCAGGGGGUGCACCCUAGGGGGGUGGGCACGUCCUUCACCCUUGUUGUUGACUCAUGACUCUUCUGGCCCAACUCUUGUGCUUCGGGGCCUUCUUUUGGUCCAUAAAGAAUCACCGUAAAUUUUCAACUCGUUUGGACUCCAUUUGAUAUUCCUUUUGUGCAAAACUCAAAAACAAGGAAAAAACAGAAACUGGCACUGGGCUCUAGGUUAAUAGGUUAGUCCCAAAAAUAACAUAAAAUAGCAUAUAAAUGAAUAUAAAACAUCGAAAACAGAUAGUAUAAUAGCAUGAAACAAUAAAAAUUAUAGAUACGUUGGAGACGUAUCAAGCAUCCCCUAGCUUAAUUCCUGCUCGUCCUCGAGUAGGUAAAUGAUAAAAAUAGAAUAUUUGAUGUGGAAUACUACCUAACAUAUUUAUGAAUGUAAUCUUCUCUAUUGUGGCAAGAAUAUUCAGAUCCAUAAGAUUCAAAAGAAAAGUUUAAUUUUGACAUAAAAACAAUAAUAUUUCAAGCAUACUAAUAAGGUAAUUAUGUCUUCUCAAAAUAACAUGGCCAAAGAAAGUUAUCCCUACAAAAUCAUAUAGUCUAGCUAUGCUCGAUCUUCAUCACACAGAAUAUUCAAAUCAUGCACAACCCCGAUGACAAGCCAAGCAAUUGUUUCAUACUUUUGAUGUUCUCAAACCUUUUCAACUUUCACGCAAUACAUGAGCAUGAGCCAUGGACAUAGCACUAUAGGUGGAAUCAAAUAUGGUGGUUGUGGAGAAGACAAAAGAAGGAGAUACUCUCACAUCAACUAGGCGUAUCAACGGGCUAUGGAGAUUCCCAUCAAUAAAUAUCAAUGUGAGUGAGCACGGAUUGCCAUGCAACGGAUGCACUAGAGCUAUAAGUGUAUGAAAGCUCAUAAAGAAACUGAGUGAGUGUCCAUCCAACUUGCUUUCUCGUGAAGAUCUAGGGCAAUUUGAGGAAGCCCAUCAUUGGAAUAUACAAGCCAAGUUCUAUAAUGAGAAAUUCCCACUAGUAUAUGAAAGUGAUAACAUAAGAGACUCUCUAUCAUGAAUAUCAUGGUGCUACUUUGAAGCACAAGUGUGGAAACAGGAUAGUAACAUUCCCCUUCUCUCUUUUCUAUCUUUUUUUUGUAUGGCUUCUGCCUCUUUUUUUUGGAUUUCCUCACAUGGGACAAUGUUCUAAUAAUGAUGAUCAUCACACUUUUAUUUACUUACAACUCAAGAAUUACAACUCGAUACUUAGAACAAAAUAUGACUCUAUAUGAAUGCCUCCGGCAGUGUACCGGGAUGUGCAAUGACGCAAGAGUGACAUGUAUGAAAAUUAUGAACGGUGGCUUCGCCACAAAUACCAUGUAAACUACAUGAUCAUGCAAAGCAAUAGGACAAUGAUGAAGCAUGUCAUAAUAAACGGAACGGUGGAAAGUUGCAUGGCAAUAUAUAUCGGAAUGGCUAUGGAAAUGCCAUAAUAGGUAGGUAUGGUGGCUGUUUUGAGGAAGGUAUAUGGUGGGUGCAUGGUACUGGCGGAAGUUGUGUGGUACUAGAGAGGAUAGCAAUGGUGGAAAGGUGAGAGUGCAAAUAAUCCAUGGACUCAACAUUAGUCAUAAAGAACUCACAUACUUAUUGCAAAAUUCUAUUAGCUAUCGAAACAAAGUACUAUGCAUGGGAUCCUAGGAGGAUAGAUUGGUAGGAAAAGACCAUCAGUCGUCCCCGAUUGCCACUCAUAAGGAAGACAAUCAAUAAAUAAAUCAUGCUCCAACUUCGCUACAUAGCGGUUCACCAUACGUGCAUGCUACGGGGAUCACAAACCUCAACACAAGUAUUUCUACAAUCCAAAAUUACUCACUAGCAUGACUCUAAUAUCACCAUCCUCAUAUCUCAAAACAAUCAUAAGGAAUCAAACUUCUCACAGUACUCAAUGCACUUUAUAUGAAAGUUUUUAUUAUAGGGACAUUUACAUCUGUGCCCCUAAAUCGAACCCACUACUCAGAUUUGCCCCUAAUUUUGAAGCAUGCUCAAAUUUACCCCUCCACCGUUAAGUCACUACUCAGAAAUGCCCUUCCGUAAAGUACUGUAGCACUUUCCGUCCAAUACUGUAGCACUUUCCGUCUGCUACAGUACACAUGGCCCUCUGACGGUCAAAGGCCUUUGACUAGACGGAAGGGCAUUUCUGAGUAGUGACUUAACGGCAGAGGGGCAAAUUUGAGCAUACUUUGAAAUUAGGGGCAAAUCUGAGUAGGUGGUUUGAGUUAGGGGCAGAAAUGCAAAUGUCCCUUUAUUAUAUCCCUCUUGGUUGCCCAUCAUAUUAGGACUAAAUUCUUAACUAAAGCAAAUUACCAUGUUGUUUAAGACUCUCAAAAUAAUAUAAGUGAAGCAUGAGAGUUCAUCAAUUUUUUCAAAAUAAAACUACCACCGUGCUCUAAAAAGAUAUAAGUGAAGUACUAGAGCAAGUGACAAACUACUCCAAAAGAUAUAAGUGAAGAUCAAUGAGUAGUCGAAUAAUUAUGUAGCUAUGUAAAGACCCUCUAACAUUUAAGAAUUUCAGAUCUUCAUAUUUUAUUCAAACAACAAGCAAAGCAAAAUAAAAUUACAUUGCAAGGAUAGCACAUAUCAUCUGAGGAAGCAAAAACUUAGGCUCAACCAAAACUAGCCGAUAGUUGUUGAAGAAGAAAGGUGGGAUGCCAAUUGGGGCAUCCCCAAGCUUAGAUGCUUGAGACUUCUUGAAAUAUUAAUUAGGGAUGCCUUGGGCAUCCCCAAGCUUGAGCUUUUGUGUCUCCUUAAUUCCUCUCAUAUGACGGUUUCCCUCAAUCUUAAAAGCUUCAUCCACAGUUCCACACAAAACUCAACAAAGAACUCGUGAGAUAAGUUAGUAUAAAUCCAUGCAAAACCUUAUCAUUCUCUACUGUAGAAAAUCAGUAAAAUUAUAAUUUGACAUUGCAUACUAAAUUCCUCUGCAUAUUUAAUACUCCAAUCCUCGAAUAUAAUCAUUAAACAAUGCAAACAUAUGCAAAUAAUGCAAACAUAUGCAAACAAUGCAAACAUAACAACAAUUUGUCUAAACAGAACAGUCUGUAAAGAAUGCAAGAGGAAUCAUACUUCCCUAACUCCAAAAAUUCUGAAAUAUUACCACACUGUAGAAAAUUUGUUUUCAUUCAUUGUAUAAAUAUUGCAAGACUUUAUCAUGUUCUGACUAUUCACCAAUAUUCAGAACAUAACAACAAACUUUUUGUUUUCAAAAUAGCAACUUAUAGAAUUGUAAAAUAAGCAUGGUAAAGGCUAUACCUGACCUUUUUAUUGAAUUAAAAGAUAGAAAACAUGUCUCUGAAUAACAACAAGCAAAUAUAAACAAAAUAAAAUGAUGCUCAAGCAAAACUCAUAUCAUGUGGUGAAUAAAAAUAUAGCUCCAAGUAAGGUUACCGAUGAACUAAGACGAAAGAGGGGAUGCCAUCUGUGGCAUCCCCAAGCUUAGGCUCUAGGUUGUCCUUAAAUAUUACCUUGGGGUGCCUUGGGCAUACCCAAGCUUAGGCUCUUGCCACUCCUUAUUCCGUAGUCCAUCGAAACUUUACGAGAAACUUGAAAACUUCACAACACAAAACUCAACAGAAAAUCUUAUGAGAUCCGUUAGUAUAAGAAAGCAAAUCACCACUUAGGCACUGUUAUGAUCUCAUUCUAAAUUUAUAUUGGUGUUAUAUCUACUGUAUUCCAACUUCUUCAUGGUUCAUACCCUCUGAUACUACUCAUACAUUCAUAAAAAAUAAGCAGACAACACAUAGAAAACAGAAUCUAUGAAAAACAGAACAGUCUGUAGUAAUCUGGAAACUUUCCAUACCUCUGUAACUCCAAAAAUUCUAAACAAUUAGGAAAGCGUAGGAUUUUUUUAUCAAUCAUGUGUAAAAAAUUUAGAUCAAAAUCAUGUUCCUGGACUUAGCACAAACGUUUCUAUUUUUGCACAGAAUCAAGUCAACUAUCAUCCACACUAUCCCAAAGGCUUUACUUGGCACUUUAUUGAAAUAAAAACUAUAAAAAUGAUUAGUAUAGUAUCAUAAUCAUGUGAACACACAAAAACAAUAGGGUUAAAUAUUGGGUUGUCUACCAACAAGCGCUUUUCAUUAGUGCCUUUCUAGCUAGGCAUGAUGAUUCCAAUGAUGCUCACAUGAAAGAUAAGACUUGAAACAUAACGGGAGCAUCAUGAAGCAUAUGACUAGCACAUUUGAGUUUAACCCACUUCCUAUGCAUAGGGAUUUUGUGAGCAAACAAUUUAUGGGAACAAGAAUCAACUAGCAUAGGAAGGAAAACAAACAUAAUUUCAAAAUUUUCAACACAUAGAGAGGAAAUUUGAUAUUAUUGCAAUAAUUAAAAGCAUAUGUUCCUCUCUCAUAAUAAUUUUCAGUAACAUCAUGAAUGAAUUCAACAAUAUAACUAUCACAUAAAUCAUUCUUUUCAUGAUCCACAAGCAUAGAAUUUUUAUUACUCUCAACAUAAGCAAAUUUAUUCUCCUUCAUAGUAAUGAGAGCAAACUCAACAAAAUAACUAUCAUGAGAUACUUGAUUGACAUAAUCAAUUUGAACAUUAAAAUCAUGAUGACAAGUUUCAUGGUUAUCAUUAUUCUUUAUAGCAUACAUUUCAUCACAAUAAUCAUCAUAGAUUGCAACUUUUUUCUCAUAAUCAAUUGAAACCUCUUCCAAAAUAGUGGAUUCAUCACUAAAUGAAGUCAUGACCUCUCCAAAUCCACUUUUAGUUAUUACAAUAAGAUUCAACACCCUCCAAAAUAGUGGGAUCACUACUACAUAAAGUUGACACUCUUCCAAACCCACUUUAAUCAAUAUAAUCAUCACAAAUAGGGGGCAUGCUUUCAUCAUAAUAAAUUUGCUCAUCAAAACUUGGGGUACAAAAAAAUAUCAUAUUCAACAAACAUAGCAUCCCCAAGCUUGUAGCCUUGCAUAUCAUCAACAUCAUGGAUAUUCAAGGAAUUCAUACUAACAACAUUGCAAUCAUGCUCAUCAUUCAUGGAUUUUGUGCCAAACAUUUUAUUGCAUUCUUCUUCUAUCGAUUGAGCACAAUUUUCUAAUCCAUCAUUUCCAUGAAAGACAUUAUAAAGAUGAAUAAUAUGCAGCAACCUCAAUUCCAUUUUUUGUAGUUUCCUUUUAUAGACCAAACUUGUGAUAAAAACAAGAAGCUAAAAUAUUCAAUUGCAAGAUCUAAAGAUAUACCUUCAAGAACUCACCUCCUCGGCAACGACGCCAGAAAAGAGCUUGAUGUCUACUACGCAACCUUCUUCUUGUAGACUCGUGUUGGGCCUCCAAGCGCAGAGUUUUGUAGGCCGGCAGCAAAUUUCCCUCAAGUGGAUGACCUAAAGUUUAUCAAUCCGUGGGAGGCAUAGGAUGAAGAUGGUCUCUCUCAAACAACCUUGCAACCAAAUAACAAAGAGUCUCUUGUGUUCCCAACACACCCAAUACAAUGGUAAAUUGUAUAGGUGCACUAGUUCGGUGAAGAGAUGGUGAUGCAAGUGUAAUAUGGAUGGUAGAUAUAGGUUUUUGAAAUAUGAAAAUAUAAAACAGCAAGGUAACUAGAAACAAAAGUGAGAAAAAAGGUAUUGCAAUGCUUGGAAACAAGGCCUGGGUUCAUACUUUCACUAGUGCAAGUUCUCUCAACAAUGAUAACAUAAUUAGAUCAUGUAACAAGCCCUCAAUGUGUGACAAAAGUCACACCAAAGUUCCUAUCAUGGAGAACAUAAGAUGAAAUUUCUUGUAGGGUACGAAACCACCUCAAAGUUAUUCUUUCUGAUCAAUCCAUUGAGUUAUUCCUAUAAGUGUCACAAAUAGUCCUAGAGUUCAUAGUAAAAUAACACCAUAUGACACACAUCAAGCAACCCUAAUGUCACCUAGCUACUCCAAUCUCACCACAAGUAUCCGUGGGUCAAUUAUACAAUAUGCAUCAAACAACUUCGGAUUCAUAAUAUUCAAUCCAACACAAAGAACUUCAAAGAGUGUCCCAAGAUUUCUACCGGAGAAACAAGGACGAAAACGUGCAUCAACCCCUAUGCACAGAUUACCCCAAUGUCACCUCGGGAAUCCAUGAGCUGAGUGCCAAAACUUACAUCAAGUGAAUCAAUAGAACACCCCCUUGUCACCACGGGUAUCCCACGCAAGACAUACAUCAAGUGUUCUCAAAUCCAUAAUAGUAUUCAAUCUGAUAAUAGUAAACCUCAAAGGUAAAACUCAAUUCAGUAGAAGAAGGUAGAGGGGGAGAAACACCAUAUGAUCCGACUAUAGUAACAAAGCUUGCGGUACAUCAAGAUCAUGCCAAAUCAAGAACACGAGAGAGAGAGAGAGAGAGGGAGAGAGAGAUCAAAAACAUAGCUACUGGUACAUACCCUCAGCUCCGAGGGUGAACUAUUCCCUCCUCAUCAUGGAGACCGCCGGGACGAUGAAGAUGGCCACCGAUGAUGGAUUCCCCCUCCGGCAGGGUGCCGGAACAGGGUCCCGAUUGAUUUUUCAUGGCUACAGAGGCUUUCGGUGGCGGAACUCCUGAUCUGGGUUUCUUUCUGGGGGUUUCAUGAUUUAUAGGAAUUUUUGGCGUUGGGGACAAGUCAGGGGGGGUCCAUGAGUCAGCGACAAUGCAGGGGGUGCACCCUAGGGGGGUGGGCGCGUCCUCCACCCUUGUCGUUGACUCGGGACUCUUCUGGCCCAACUCUUGUGCUCCCGGGGCUUCUUGUGGUCCAUAAAAAAUCACCGUAAAUUUUCAGCUCGUUUGGACUCCGUUUGAUAUUCCUUUUCUGUAAAACUCAAAAACAAGGAAAAACAUAAAUUGGCACUGGGCUCUAGGUUAAUGGGUUAGUCCCAAAAAUAAUAUAAAAUAGCAUAUAAAUGCAUAUAAUACAUCCAAACCAGAUAAUAUAAUAGCAUGGAACAAUCAAAAUUUAUAGAUACGUUGGAGACGUAUAAAUUCCCCCUUCGACAGAGUACUGAAAAAGGCAUGGAGAUGGGAUCACAGAAGAACAGAAGCUUGCAGCAGCAGAAAAAGUGUUUCAGGUGGCUCUCUGUGGGUUUCCUAGUAUUCAUGAAUUUAUAGAAAUGGAAUUAGGCCAGACAAAGCCACGUGGGGCCCGCAAGGUAAUAAGGAGAGUCUAUCCCCCUAGGCGCGCCCUGUUGCCUUGUCGUCUCCUCGCUUCUCAUCUGGUCUCCUCCCGAAGCUUCUAAGGUCUAUUUUGUCUGGAAAAAAAUCGUCAAAUUUUUUUGUAGCGUUUGGACUCCAUUUGGUAUUGAUUUCUUGGAAAACAAAACUAGCAGAAAACAACAACCGGCACUAGGCACUGAGUUAAUAGGUUAGUCCCGCAAAAUGAUUUAAAAUUGUAUGAAAAGUAUGCAAGAUUGAUACUAUAAUAGCAUGAAACAAUAAAAAUAUAUAGAUAUGUUGGAGAUGUAUAAACCUCCACCAAGAUAAAAGUGAACAAAAGUAGCUUCCUUCUCAAUCUGCUUUGCUAUGGACAGACUCUAUGCCUCAUCGCGAUGAUUAAAGGGAAGAUUCAGAACUCUACCCCAAACCUGUAGCCAACUAAACUUGAGUUCCGGUGGGCACAUGCACCCGUCAAACUUCGACAAGAUCACCACAUGUUUACUUUUGUGCCAUGGGGAUCCGUCCCACAAGCAAUCACGAUCGCACUGUGUUGUGAACUCCCCAUGAACAUGUUCUCGCCCACUUGACGGAAGAUAAGUUCCAUAGGGUUAUCCCAUGCAGGGCGCAUGGUGUUGGAUAUUGUAUGGAUGUGGAAUAUGUUUCCAUGUAGAACCUUCCUCAUCACCAUCUACUUCUUCGGUGCCUCUUUCCCUAUGUGUUCCUCGAGACGAGCCCUAGCGGACUUGGGCGACAAGGUCCCGACUUCUUUGCCACCGUCGCACCCAGGGAAUGCAGCCAUCUCCAGUCGGCGAUCUCAGGUGCGCCCCACCAAUCAAGUCUGUGGGUGCCGCCAACCUCUGAGAAGCCCUAACCGCCUCUCGACGGGGCUCUCACAAUUUCUGAAAAGUUUGAUUUGGUUGGGGGUUGAUAGCAAGGUUUUAAAUAGCUUUUUUGCAACAUCGCAGUGAGGUUCGAGUUAUAGCUAUGUGAGCUAUCGCAAACUAUCAUGGAAGCUAGUACAAUAGUGUUUUAAAGGGAAAACAAGGGUAUAACAUUAAAAUACAGACUAAAUAAUGACUAAGGAGAAUCCUAUAUAUAUAUAUAUAUAUAUAUAUAUAUAUAUAUAUAUAUAUAUAUAUAUAUAUAUAUAUAUAUUGGUAGAUGGUUUAUUUUCUCACUUGGUUGCGACAUCAUGAGUGUCGGUGGGAGUUUCCUUGAAGCAGUCAUCGACCCGUCCAACCUCUAAUAUAAAACAAUCGCUCAAGAAAGAUUGGAUUCUAUGAUAUUAGGGGUUCUAGUUUUUCAUGUUAGUUAGUUAUAUACACUGGUUCUUUUAUUAAAUUUACAUGUAUAGGAGAUAAUAGCUUUAGGUAUAACUGAUGGCGAGGUAUGCUAAAUAGUGCAGUUAUUUGACACUAUAGCAGUUGUAGCUAGGGUAGAUAUACAGAGUACAAUAGUUUGCCUUUAGUCUCCCAAAAUGCUAUAUAGGACUAGCAAUUUGAAUCCCUGGUCGAAAAACACAUCAUAUAAUCAUCAUCUUGACAUUGCCGUGUACACCCUAAUAUUACAUACGUCUCAAAUUACUCGUCUGAUUUGUCUAUAUAUAAAUGUAUCUAACACUAAAACAUGUCUAGAUACAUCCGUAUUUAGAUAAAUCUGAGACAACUAAUUCGGAAUGGAGGGAGUAUGUUAGGGCGUCUUCAACACUGAUCCACAAAUUUGCUGUGGCAUUCAUCGCAGACAGGUGGACCCGUCCAUGGACAAGGAUGCAGGAGGCGACCAUCCAAUGCUAUCAUGUAUAUGUCCCAUAGGAACGAAGUAUGUCUACUGUAGGGGGUGAAUGGGAGAUAAAAAAUUCUAUCAGAAACUUCAAAUCUCUAGAACCCAGCAGUGGAAAGAAAGUAAACAGUGAAUAGAGAAUGAGAAAUAACUAUCGAACAAGAAUGACUACAGUCAGAGAGAAUCAAUCACAUGGUUGAGACAUAAUUCACAAUAGAUGAACGAAGGUAAAUGGAGUGAGGAAAUUAUCAGUGAUGCUCGAUGUCGAUGAAUGAUUUGGUAGACUAGUUCACCCUUCUUCAAAUGGACUAUGUAUGGUUGGAGGUGUUCGUGAUUGAAUAAAUAAGAUAAACUCUCUUCGCCCUAUUCUCCUCAACAACUUAUUCUUCAACCAGUGUCGAUCACUCAUCGUAGAUGUUUGAGGCAAUCUCUGAACCUUUAUAGACUUUGUUUUCGUGAACCAAAAUACUGUUGGUCACUGGAAGACUUAGACAGCUAACCAUCUAGAGAGUUUGUAGCUCUCAAGAGUAGUAGGCGAAGCAUACUGGACUUAGAUUCGAGUGAUGCUAAAUCACUAUUUAAUUUUUCGGUUCUGGGGUUUUUCUCUCGGUGGAUUUUAAACUCAAAUCACUCAAGAGAGAGGGUGCUCACACAAUCUUCUCAGAAAUCAAAUGGAGCAGUCAAUGGUACACGCUGGAAGGGUGGGGUUUUUAUAGUUGCGGUCUUCCCGAUGGGAAAAGACCAUUUUGGGCAUGACUGCUUGGCAAUGCCCAACCGACAUGUAACAAAUGGUUGGAUUUUUUAGCACAAUGGUAACAUUACUUGGCAAGCACGUAAUGCUAACUCCUUGGUCCGAAUCAAAUCUCUUGCAGCAAAGUAGAACUUCAUCUCUUGCCGGUGAGUAUAAAUUCGGAGCACAAAGAGAUUUCUCUCAACUCACAUAGGUUUUGGUUUACCUUUAGAGAGCCCUAAGUUUCGAACAUUGUACCUCUCAUAAUACGGUGGUCCUAUGACUCAAGAAAGAGAAGAAGAACAAUGAAAGGCAAUACUAUGUCUUUUCUCCGUCUUCAAACUUCUCGGUUGCUGCCAAUUUCUUUGGACACACAGCGAACCAAAUAAGAAUUUUAGAGGUUUACUUUCGAGAGGCAUAACCUUCAGCGAUAAUCCUCGCUGCCUUGCAGGAGAUUAUCUUUGGAGUUUGUCCCAAACUACACAUGACUUCAGGGACUUGUCACACUGUGUGCACUAGGAAACACAUUAGUCCCACACUAUUUAUGUCAACAAUCUACAAAACACAAGGAGGAAAAUUAUUUUGUAGCCUUCUAAUGCGUGUACUGCUACUUCUUGAGCUUGCUUUGGUUUUUUUCUUGAAGAGGAAAGGGUGAUGCAGAAAAAGUAGAGAUAAGUAUUUCCUCAGUUUGAGAACCAAUGUAUCAAACCAGUAGGAGACAACGCACAAAUCACCGAAUACAUUCACAAACAAUCAAACAACUUGCACCCAACGCGAUAAAGGGGUUGUCAAUCCCUUCACGAUUACUUGCAAAAGUGAGAUCUGAUAGAGAUAGAUAAACGAUAAAGUAAAUAUUUUUGGUAUUUUUGGUUUAUAGAUCGAAAAGUAAAAUAUUACAAAAUAGUAGAUCAGAAACUAAUAUGAUGGAUAAUAGACCCGGGGGCCAUAGGUUUCACUAGAGGCUUCUCACAAGAAAGAAAAUAAUACGGUGGGUGAACAAAUUAUUGUCGAGCAAUUGAUAGAAAAGCACAAAGUUAUGACGAUAUCUAAGGCAAUGAUCAUGAAUAUAGGCAUCACGUCCGUGUCAAGUAGACCAAAACGAUUCUGAAUCUACUACUAUUACUCCACACAUCAAUCGACUUCUGCCUGCAUCUAGAGUAUUAAGUUCAUGAAGAAUAGAGUAACACAUUAAGUAAGAUGACAUGAUGUAGAGGAAUUAACUCAAGCAAUAUGAUGAAAACCCCAUCUUUUUAUCCUCGAUGGCAACAAUACAAUACGUGCCUUGCUGCCCCUACGGUCACUGGGAAAGGACACCGCAAGAUUGAACCCAAAGCUAAGCACUUCUCCCAUUGCAAGAAAAACCAAUCUAGUUGGCCAAACUAAACCAAUAGUUUGAAGAGAAUUACAAAGAUAUCAAAUCAUGCAUAUAAGAAUUUGGAGAAGAUUCAAAUAAUAUUCAUAGAUAAGCUGAUCAUAAAUCCACAAUUCAUUGGAUCUCGGCCAACACACCGCAAAAAAGUAUUACAUCGAAUGAUCUCCAAGAACAUCGAGGAGAACAUGGUAUUGAGAAUCAAUGAGAGAGAAGAAGCCAUCUAGCUACUAGCUAUGGACCUGUAGGUCUGUGGUAAACUACUCACGCUUCAUCGGAAGGGCAAUAGAGUUCUUGUAGAAGCCCUCCAUGAUCGAAUCCCUCUCCGGCAGGGUGCCGGGAAAGGUCCCUAGAUGGGAUCUCAUGGGUACAGAAGGUUGCGGCGGUGGAAAGGUGUUUUCGUGGAUGCCUCUAGUGGUUUGGGGAUAUAUGGGAAUAUAUAGGCGAAAGAAUUAGGUCAGGAGGGUCACNNNNNNNNNNNNNNNNNNNNNNNNNNNNNNNNNNNNNNNNNNNNNNNNNNNNNNNNNNNNNNNNNNNNNNNNNNNNNNNNNNNNNNNNNNNNNNNNNNNNNNNNNNNNNNNNNNNNNNNNNNNNNNNNNNNNNNNNNNNNNNNNNNNNNNNNNNNNNNNNNNNNNNNNNNNNNNNNNNNNNNNNNNNNNNNNNNNNNNNNNNNNNNNNNNNNNNNNNNNNNNNNNNNNNNNNNNNNNNNNNNNNNNNNNNNNNNNNNNNNNNNNNNNNNNNNNNNNNNNNNNNNNNNNNNNNNNNNNNNNGGGCAUGCCCUCCAUCCUUGUGGCCGCCUCGUGGCUCCUCCGACUUCAUCUCCAAGUCUCCUGGUUGUCUUCUGGUCCAAGAAAAAUCAUUGCGAAGGUUUCAUUCCGUUUGGACUCCGUUUGGUAUUCCUUUUGUGCGAAACUCAAAAACAGGGAAAACAGGAACUGGCACUGAGCUUUAGGUUAAUAGGUUAGUCCAAAAAAUAAUAUAAAAUGGCAUAUUAAUGCAUAUAAAACAUCCAAAACAGACAAUAUAAAAUCAUGGGGCAAUAAAAAAUUAUAGGUACGUUGGAGACGUAUCAUGUAUGGUGAAGUUUUUCUUUUCCAACUUCAUGAACACCGUACACACACACUAGAAGGCUACAAAAUAAACAUUAUCAAAAAAACUAUACACAUCCGGCUAGUGAUCAAUAAAACUAUGCAUAUCCGGCUAGUGAUCAAUAUAAUUAUGCAUAUGCAGACAAUGAUCAACAAAACUAUGCAUAUCCGGUAAUGUUCAGCAAAAACAUGCAUAUCCGACUACAAAAUUCUGCAUAUCCGCCCCAUGAUUAGUAGAACUAUGCAUAUCCGGCUAGAAAAUUGUGCAUAUCCUGGAAAUGAUCAGCAAAACUAUGCAUAUCCGGCAAAUGAUCACCAAAACUCUGCAUAUCCGGCAAGUGAUCGGAAAACUAUGCAUAUCCGGCUAGUGAUCAACUAAACUAUGCAUAUCGGGCCAAUGAUCAACAAAACUAUGGAUAUCCGGCUACAAAACUACGCAUGUCCGGCCAAUGAACUUACUUGCUCGGUGAUCGGGGCACCACUAGGCCACCAUGCGAUGAGAUGUGCCAAAUGGCCAGAAUAUUUCGACACAGCCUCUUGGAUGGUGUACCAUCGAUGGGUGAGGGACUUUGGUUCAUGGUUGCGGAUGACCGCGUUGGAGUAGGGUGCGAAAUGCUUGUGUUCAUGGAACCAUGUGUGAAUGUUGGCCCAAAAAGUUGAGCCCUUUUGCUUCAUGCCAUGGAUCGGAUCGAGGCUAGUGGCGAACCAUGCAUCGCACAAGAGCUUGUCCUCCCUCAUUGUUGAAGAUUUCUCAUCUAUCCUUCUUCUUUGGAUCACCGACAAAAUCAUCUGGAUCAUCGUCUUCGCUGUCCUCAUCCUCCUCCACCUCCUGAUGAAAAAGGGUUUCCUCCCGCUUUAUAUUUAAAGCAACCGCACCAACAUCCAUCCACAAGAGAGGUCUUAGGUUAAAAGUUCAACAACAAAGAAGGAAAGAAAAAGAACAGGAUCCAAAUAAGUCUUGCUGAGGGUACAACACAACAUCCCCUUAAUAAAAGGAAGGUAACUAAUCCGGCUCGGGGGGAGGUGGAGGAGGCGGCGGAGCAAUAGAUCUAGCAGUGGAGCGAAGGCCCGCGAUGAUCAAGUCGAUGUUGUUUCGAUCACUCCUCUUGCUAAGCGGUCUCCAUAGCUGUAAGAAGCCACACAUUUUGUAGAUUGCGUCAGUCGCAUGUAAUGGAAUCACAUGUUCAAUCACAAGUUUAUUUCGAACAGUCCACAAGGUCCAAGCGAGUGUGUCCAUCCUCACCCAGAGGGAUGGGCGCACCACACAUGGGAAGCUAAGAAUCUCCCAGAACAUUUCCGGGAGAUUGUCGUGGCACCAAGUGCCUCCCACCACAUCCCGGAAACAGCUGCACAGAAAGAUAGCUGCUGGGCAUAAGAAGAAUAUGUGGUUGGAGUCCUCUAGUACAUCGCAUAAGGGGGAAAUCCCAUUACUAGGGCCGUUGCGCUGAAGCACUUACGUACCCAAAGGCAGCUGACCACAAACCCACUGCCAAAGGAAGAUACGAAUCUUCAGUGGCAGUUUGAUCUCCACAUGACGUUGAGAUCCUCCGGGCCAGGGGUGGCUACAAUCGCCUGAUAAAUGGAUUUUGUUGAGAACACGCCACUUGGCUCUAGGUGCCAAGAGAUGGCGUCCUACUCCAAGGAGGGGGUAUGCAGGGCGACACAUUGAAGCAACUCCUUCCAUUGGUCCCGUUCAAGGGGGGCGAAGGUACGUCGAAAGGCAAUGCCCCCUAGGUCUCCCGGAGCCGCCGCCAUAAUAAGAUGAACCUCCUCCUCCUGCGCCUGUCCGGCGGCCCAAUCAUGUUGCUGUAUUCCCAUGCGCGUCUGUUGUGUGCCGAUCUGGGUGUAGCCUUGAUGCGUGUGGGUGUAGUUGCCGGACGGGAUGGGAUCUGAGUCUUCCACCUGCCCGUCCUCAUAACCUCCUCCUCCUCCGCCUCUGUCCUGGAUGAUGUCGAACAUCUUCUUAUCUGCGUCGUCUUACGCGCCCCCUCGCUUUAGGCAUAACAGUGAACAUCACACGGGCACCCAUGUGCUCCCCGCCCGCGGUCCGCGCCUGGGCGAGCUGUGGCGAAGAAGACUCUGAGAAGAGCAGCGGCACCGCGUUUAAGACGAUGAUGUAAGGCACUUGCCUGAUGGUGGUAGCCGUGGAUUGCCUACCAAGCUGCUUGGCUGUGUAGUAGUAUGGAGCCUUGUAAUGCCCCGGCCAUGGCGGUGUCUGCAGGAUGGGCGCCGCCAUUGUGGCUCCGCGACCUCCACCACGUCCGUGACAAGCACGCCGACCGCCACGGACGGCAUCAGCACGCCCUCCUUCUUCCUUCCGCUUCAUGAGUGUUGCCUCCUUGCGGCCUUCGCUUUGACGCGGUGAUUUUGCCGCGUCAUCGAGUAGAUCUUCCGGGCGAGGUUGAUGCUUGGAUCCUCCUGCACAUCCACCACCUCUAUCUCUGGCAGGUCCUCUUCCGGUUCCAUGAGUCGGCAGCGACAACAAAGAAUAUGGGAGAAAAGGGCGCGAAUUGGGUGAAAAGCGGCAGGAUGGAAGAAGAGAGUGGGGGGAUUUUUGCGAGGAAACGGUGCGGGAUGCUACAAAAGGACGGGCUCUACCUUCCUUUUGGGUGGACCAUGGGUGUAAGGGCAUCUCCAGCCGGCCCCCCAACAAGCCUCCCCAAGCCACUUUUUGGGCGCCGGCGGGCAAAAAACGCCCCAGUCAGGCCCCCAGAGACCCGUUUUUCGCCGGAUUUCGCGAAAGUUACGGCCGACACUACCACCCCAAACCCAGCCCCCCGGGGGGCAGCUGGGGACGCCGGCUGUUGCCUUUUGCAUGCACAGGGCCACUCGUCAGCCCCUCUCUCUCCCCUCUCUCUCCUCUCUCUUCCCCUUUCUCUCUUUUCUUUCUCCUCUCUCUUCUUUCUUUCCUUCCAUCACCUACCGCACAUAGCGCGCAUGGCCGGGGCGGGGUUCGCGCUCGCGCGAUCAAAGCCUCCACUCGACCAUCUCCUUCCUCCUCGCUUGGUCGCCAUGGCCACCAACCUCGCAAGAUCCAGCCCAUCUCCUACGCGUCCGUCGAGUGGGCGUUCCGGCGGACCCGGUCGGCGCCGUCGCUCGCCGCCGAGUUCGCGGGCGGCCCGCUCAAGCGCUGGUGGGACUGGGGCCUUCAGCUGGCUGCGGCUUCGCCGGCGACCUGGAGAUGAUCGAGGAGGAGGUGGUCGCGCUCGGCCGGGGCAUCUGGGCGCACUUCGUCUACAAGGUGCGCUCCGGGGUCCGCCGCCUCGUCGCGUCCGACCAGCUGCUGCUCACCACGCAAUGCCUCAGGGGCGCCUCGCUGCCCCCGUUCCGGCGGACGGGCGGUGGUGCCGAGCAGGCCGGCGCGGCGGGACGAGCUGCAAGGGCGGGGCACGCGGGCCGAGCUGCAGGCGCGCGCGGCGGCAGUGUGAGUUGCCGCCGAGCUCGCACAGCUCCGGGUCGCCUCCAAGCUCGCGCUGCCGCCGCUGCAGUCCACCUCUGGGUUGUUUCCAAGCUCGCGCCGACAGGGAGGGAGGGGGAGGACGCUGGACGGCGGCGAGCGGCGCCGUGGUGAGGGCGGCGAGCAGCCAGAGGCGCCGUGGCAAGGGCGGCGAGCAGCGCGAGGGCGUGCGGUGGCUACGAGUGGCGCGUGGGAGGGGCCAACGAGUGGAUAGAUUUUCACCCCAAGACUAAAUGUUACGCCGGCAGCCCCCCAAGCGGCGAAAAAAAUGCCUCCCGGGGGGCCUCAACGGCUGGAGAUGCCCUAAGAGUCUCAUAUGUCUCGUGUCCGUACUCCCGCAAUGCCCUCUAUGUUUGGUUUCAGUUUACGAAAAAAACAUGGUCCGGACUGCUCGAUGAACGACACAUGCCCAUAUUGGAUGACAUCCGGGGUCUGGACCGCACAGUCAUAACGUAUGCGGCGGUUUGAGGGUCAGCGUUGGAAAUUCUUUAUAGUAGGAACAGUAUACGCACGACACGACCUAGUAGAAGGCUCCUCCCGGAGGGAACACGUUGAUAACGCAUGUGCGAAUAGGUUAGGAAAACCCGAAAACAAGGAUCCAAUCCCCGCUAACACGGACGAUGGUCAACAAGCUUAGUCUUUGUCCUAGUCCUGACCAGACGUACUCCAUCAUCAAAAUGAAAUACUAGUAGAGUUGUACCACCAGUCCUCUCCCUCUCAAAAAGAAAGCUAGUUGUCCUAUAGUCGUACACCACAGCCAUCACCCAUCUCCGUCCGUGGCAUGGCAUGGCAGCGCUCUCGUCUCGUCUCGUGCAUCCACCUCACACUUGUACAGCUAUAUCCCACACACUUUCGCUCAUGCGCAUGCAUGCAUGCACGCACGCACUGUCCUCCACGACGGACCAUGGCAAGGCGUCACACACACACAGCACAGCAGUCGCAAUAACUCACACGGCGACGGAGCAUCGGGGAGGAGGGAGGCAGCGGCUCGGGAUCUCGCCUUAUCCUCGCGGUACGACGCUCUCCCCACCCCGGCCAAAAUGUACGUAAACAUGGCGCCAUUUACACGCGCGCAACCACUCCGCUGUCCUCUUAUCCCUCCCCUCCCAUGCAUGCAUGUCAGCGACGGACGAUCCACGCCAACGGGCUCCCGACGAGGCGGACGCGCCCAAAAUAUUCCACCGCCGAGCCAGCGACCCGGCCCGUACUCACGCAAGCGGCGCACGCUCGUCCGGGCCAGCCAGCGACGAUGGCGACCGAUCGCGCGAUACAGGCACGGAUCUCUCCGCGGGUUUACAACAAGCAGCCCGCUUUUUGUACAGUCCAUGUCGCUAUCGCUCUCCCCCUCCUGGCCGGCUCGCUACAGCCCUACGUAAGUACGUACCUAUUCGCGAGCUGAGCGCGUGAUAUUUUCAACCUCCUGCAAAAAAAUAAAUUUAUUUUCAACUGGUUCCAGCUCUAAUUUGUAAGGAUUGAAAUUGUAAAAGCUCAAGUAAUUUCCAAGGACGAAUAAAAAUAUGUAACUCCAGCCUCAUCAUAUAAAAAGAGAAGAUCAAAUUAAUCAACCGGCCAGAAUAUGGGGUCGAGGUUGAAUGCAUGAUUGCUGCCGGCGCUUUGUGCCGGAUCAGUGGAGUGAAAGGACCGGUCGAAUAUCGCCGUAAUUUAAAAGGUGCGUCUUUAAAGCAUUUCGUGCCGCAUUAGUCCAACAAAUCCCGCUCGACCACUAGCGCUCACUAAAAAAAGAAGGAAUAAAAAGGAGAUGCGCUGUUAAUUGCACACACAAACAUAUUCUUGCCCCAGAAUCCACGCAAAGCAAAUACGAUAAAGAACACAAGGCUAACCCCAAUUUGUACAUGGUCUCACUCCUAAAUUUAGUAGUACUCCAGUGGUUUUGCUUCCUUCUUUUGGUUCUCCAAUGGUUUCGAAAUGAUUUCCGGCCCGAUGUGGAAACGAACGAGCCAUACAUGCAUGCAGCGGCGGCGCGGUUUGAUGGCACCGGUGACUGAGCGAGUUGGCGCCUGGCUUUAG